AUUAAUCAUCUUUCAAGAAAACUCAAAACCUAAAUCAUUUACAAUUUGAAGGACAAAAUAGAAGCUUAUAAGAAAAUAUUGAACUUUUUGUAUUUAUGUUCAAAAUUAAAAUAUUCACGAGUCAUGUCAUGUGAAGAGCCCCUGCAACUCUAAUCACUUGCCAGUUGUCACCGUAGGGGCAGUUGGGUUAACUUUUUUUUUUUUUUUUUUUUUUUUUUUUUUUUUUUUUCUGUUUGUUAUCCGGCCGAAUGGGCUGGGUGGAGUAGGUUGANAUAUUUAAUGUAAUUUUUGUAAUUAUAAAUUUAUUCAAAUAAGUAAUUAAUUUAAAAUUUGAAGUUAAAUUAUCAUUGACUAAUUCAAAUUAAACAAAUUGAAAGGUUAGUUACAAAAUCAAAAAUUUCAAAGUUUAGACAACUGAUUCAAAAUAUUUCAUAACCCAGACAAAUUUUGUACAUUUUUAUCUAAAAUUUAUGCUACGAAGGAAGGUUUGCUUCACCUACAACCAAAAGCCAUCUCUCUCUCUCUCUCUCUCUCUCUCUCUCUCUCUCUCUUCUCUUCUGACAAGCAUUAAAGAUACAAGAAAUUUUUUUUUUUUUUUUUUUAGAGAGAUAGAUAGUACGCUACCCGCUUUGUUUAUUUCAUUUAGAAAUAAACUUAGCUGAAAAUGUGAAUCAACUAGGAUACGAGCUGAGAUCUCAGGUAUCAAUCACCAAGCCCUUUACCACUUACCCUAGGGACGGUCCGUCAGUUGGGUUAACUAUUAGAUAGUUUUGUUGGGCUGUUGGGCGAACUUAUUAUCAAAUAUAAUUGUAGUACUAUUUGUGCACCAGUAAGUACCAUAUAAAUUUUACAUCUUAACUAUUUAAAAACUAUCCAGCGCAUUUGAUCAAGGAUUUAAUGAUUGAUAUCUAAAGUCUUAAGUUCAAAAUUUAAUUUUGUUUCUUAUUUCUAACUUCUCCAACUAUAUAAAGACUUAAUUUCUUUUCAUUAGUCUUAUUAACCUUCUUUCAAUACUAAAACUUGAAGAGAAUUUUUAAAUCCUUAUUAUUAUUAUUAUUAUUACUAAUCUUAUUAACUUCACUUUUAAAUUCUUGGAUGGGUACCUGUACUCCACGCUUACAGGGAAUACAUGUAGCGUUUUUCAUAUAUUUGAGAGGCCCAUUUGGCACUAUUUUUAUUCACUCCGAUAGAGAGUGCGCAUCUUAUAUCUUACAGCUUAUAUUUUAGAAUUUAUAAAAAUUUAAAUAGUUUUCAGUAAAAAUAAAUUAAAAUUGAUGUGACAAGUAGAGUAAUGAUUAUUCUUAAAUAGAGAGGGUAUAAAAUGUACACCACGCGUGCGUUUGUACCAAUAGCAUUUCCCUAAAAAAAAAAAAAGUUUUAUGGGGUUAAUUGUAAAAACAAAUACUGUGGGGUCUAAUUGCGAAAAAAGCCCUCAUCCCAUCUGGGAGGCCGGACAGAACGCACAAUUCCAUCCGUCUCUACUUUGGCGCAGCAGCAGCCAUGUCCCUUCCUCUCUACCCCGCUUCCCUUUCCAAUCCCCUUCCGCUUCGCCAAAACUUCUCUGCAGAAUCUCGACACUGUAAACCUCUGCUCUUCUCCACCACCAGGUUAGUCUCAUUUGUGUAGUGGAUUAUAAACUUAUUAGAGUAACAUAGCAGAACCAAUCAAGCAAGAAAAUAUUUGAAGAACCCCCAACUAAUAGGCACCUCAACACCCUCCUUAACUUUUUUUUUUUUUAUCUUUUUAUUUAAGUUAUUCAAGUUAUCAAGUUUAAAAUUUUGUUACAUUUAUUAGCUUUAACUGUUAAUUAUUCUCGUUUUGUUUGUUAAAUGUCUAUAGCCACUAAACUAAAAUUACCCAAUUUCAAAUUUGUCAGCUGUAAUGCUCUAUAUAAGGAUGAACUCGUGAUAUUUGGAGCUGUGCACAAUUUUAAUUGCCAGUUCCUAUUAGUUCUUGUUUUAUUGAAGUUUUAAUGUAUUCGCAAGUCGCUCCUUGAUUUCAUUGGUUGUUAAUUUAUUAUGAAUCAUUUUUUAUGCAGGGGUAAACAAUGGUAUUAUAGAUCAAAGAACAUAACACGCCUCACGGUUAAUAGCAGAAUUUCUAGCCUUAAAGAACCUCCUUUGAGCAAUCCUGCUGCACUAUUAGCAAAGGAAGCUCACAAGUAUUUUGACCAGGCUGUUAUCACUGUUCGCGCUGGAGACGGCGGCCAUGGUGCAAUCCUCAGCAUGCCGAGCCAGAAAAUCAAUACAAAGUCGCAAGGGAGACACGAAAAGGAGAAAAGGAUGAGAAGCUCAUACAAGAGGGAUUCUGACGGCUCGCUUAUCCUCCCGAUGGGUGGACAUGGGGGCGAUGUCGUUCUUUACGCAGACGAGGGCCUAGAAUCUCUUCUGGAGUUUCACAAGAAGAGGCGUUAUAGUGCGAAGCGAGGAGGAAAUGUGGAUGCCAUGGGCACUUUGACCUCCCAAUUGCAUGAUGGAUUUGCCGCACCAGCACUACGAGUACCCGUGCCUGUAGGUUUGUAGAUUAUGUAACCAUUUUUUGUUAGAUGACUGGACUAAAAUUUCCUCUAAUACUUGUUCUCUCAUCAUGGCUUCUCCUGCUGUCUUUUGUUUAAAAUAUGCCAAAACUGGUGAAUAUGUUCUUAUGCAUGAUCUCCUCAUCACUCAGUUCCUCAUAUUCUGUGGAUUUUAAAAUGCUAUCCAUAGAAGGCUUACCAUUAUAACUGAUUACUCGAUGAUUAAGAAGAAUGGGAUCCAGUUCCUUAAAUGUUUGAAAACAUGACAGGCACGGUUGUGAAGCGGAAAAAGGGAAAACUUCUUGCUGAUUUAGCUCGUCCUGGUGAUGAAAUUGUAGUCGCUAGAGGCGGACAAGGUGGGGUAAGUAGCAUCUUAUAUUGAUAUGUGCAGAAAAUGAGGUUUCUUUUGUAUCUUGUAGGUUAAGAGUUUAAUAUAAACCAAUCCGCUUCGGUUUAUUUGAAACAUAUAAAUAUCUGUAUGAUUACGAUAAAAAUUUUCAUGCUUACUGAAUAGGCUUCAACUAUAUUUGUUUGUAUUUUGUCUUGGUAGUCCUAAAUAUAUUUAGGAAACACAUUAUGCUGGUGGGAGAUUGACUCAUUAAAUAAUGUUUUAACAUCAAAAUGUAAGGACUAGAGAAGCCGCAAAGUUCAAGGAUAAAUUGAGGGCAAAGUUUUAUUAAUCCUCAGACUCUUGCCAUUUAAAAUAUAUUAGUAAGUUAAUAAAAUUUGAGAAGGGAAUUCAAAUCAACCCAUGAAUCUAAACUUGUUAGUUGAUAGCUUGAACUCAUUUAUCUGAAGUUUGAACAACUUUAAAAUUUUAGAUUUUAGGCCUUUGUAAGAAACAUGACCUGCGUAUAUGUUCGGUACAUUAAUUAGCAUGGUGGCAAAAUGUUCUGAAAAGCAAGUGACAAAUGCAACUAAAAUCCAGGAUGUAUCCAUAGGAUGAAACUCAAUAUUCGUUUUUUUUUGUUCUGUCAUUAGACAAGAUUUAUGUUGGAUCAGCUUUAUACCAUCACUUCAUGUUGGAAAAGCUAUAUUGAAAGCCUGCCAAUGUCAUGGUGCUUGAUUAGUCUAUAUAGUAUGAAAAAAGAUGAAACUUCAUGCGAGAGCUAACACAAAUAAUUCGAGUCUUAUGCGCUUUUCUAUGGCUCGAGAGACAUCAUUAUAUGAACAUUAUCAGAAAAGAAAUUCAUACGACAUUUGUUCAAUUAUAAAACGAUGAAUGGAUAUAGAUGGAGGAUAUAAUUUCCCAAUGGAACUAGCAUGCUAUUCAUAACCACAGUGUAGCUUAAACAUCAUCUACAGUUUGUUUUUAUUGUGUUAUUUUAUUGGCUAUGUUCUGUAAUAUGUUAUUUUCUUAUCUUCUUUUUGCAGAUAAGCUUGCUAGAAAUGCCUGAACACAAAAGGAAAAAAUUAAUGGCUCUAUCCACUAAUGUAAUGCGAGAUGAAAAUGACAAGGUCAGCUUGUUUGUCAUCAUGUGUCUCAUAUCUCAAUCUGGAAUGACAUGAAUUGUUUUUGUAACCUUUGAUUUUCUAUUGCGUGAGUGACCUUCCUGAAGUACUUGAGAUGCCCUAUAAAGAUCUAUAUAUCAUUAGCUUGAAAGAUUAGAAAGCAAGAGCAGAUUUAAAGAUAAUUUGCUAUAUGCAAUUGUGUAAAAUAGUUUAGGGGGGUAAUAGUACAGUUUGUAAGGCAAAAAGGUCGUCACUUUGCAUGAAUACAUGCCAACUUAUAUUUAUGUUUAUACUCUAUACCUAAUGAGAUAAAAUGGUCUGUAUCUUGAUAAGCUUUGGCCUGGAACCACAAAUAAAUUCAUUUCUAAGAAUUGGAUAGUUUGAGUGUAAUCACGAAGAGGGUCUGAAUUGUAAAAUUUCAUAACUUUCUGUAUGCUGCUAUAUAUAUAUUUUUUUUCAUUGAAUGUUUUUUUUUUCUCAUUUUCCCAAUUGGGGGCUUAUCUUUGUUCUUUCUUCUAAUCUUCUUGUUGCUUUUUUCUUCUAGGUCCUAGUUCUUGGUCAGCCUGGCGAGGAGGUUAGCUUGGAAUUGAUUCUAAGAGUGGUUGCUGAUGUUGGUCUUGUGGUAUGCAGAAUGUCAAAUUCUUUUUUAUCUUAUUAAAAAGGUGUCUCUUUUCGAGUUACCCUAUAUAACUUAGGUUGAGACAUAUACCUCAACUUUCUUUCUUUUCAUCGAUGCUUUAGUAAACACCCUCUUAACGUAGAUAGCAAAUAAUGUUUUUGUUAAAUUGCAAAUAGUGAAGAGGUCUUCUUUGCUUCUUUAGGGACUUCCAAAUGCUGGAAAGUCGACACUUCUCGCAACUCUAACACUUGCGAAACCAGAUAUUGCCGACUAUCCAUUCACAACUUUAAUACCCAAUCUUGGACGUCUUGAUGGAGACCCUAAUUUAGGGGCAUUGAAAUAUUCCUCAGAAGCAACAUUAGCUGAUUUGCCUGGUCUAAUUGAAGGUGCUCAUCUGGGCAAGGUAUUGCUACAUCUAAAGUGCUUUAUUUUCCUUUCGUUCUAAGAUAACUGUUUACAUCAAAGCAACACAUACAUAUUGCGUUGCAGGGUCUUGGUCGAAAUUUCCUGAGACAUCUAAGGAGGACUCGGCUACUUGUUCAUGUCGUUGAUGCUGCUGCUGAGAACCCCGUAAAGGAUUAUAAGACUGUCAAAGAGGUGAUUUGCAUUUUGUCUUUCUGGCAAUGCCUUUCCUUAUUUCUCUGGGAUUCGACAUCAUUCUGCUUGUCGGUUUACCUGUGCCUUUGAUAUGAUUCCUAAUUCAAAAUUUGUUAGCUUUUUCCAUUGUCUUGAUUAAGUUCAUGUUCAGAGCAUUUUAUAUAGGGACUUCUCCUAAAUUAUAUGACUAAGAACCUGCUUAGACGUCGGAACAAAUUAUCCUGUGAUAACUUGUGUGAUACAAGAAUUUCUUUUUGUAACUGCAAGUAAAAGUUUGAUUUUAGUUCAUUAGAUGAUCCUCAUAACCAUGACUUUAUAGGGUAUUGUAUUCCACCUACGAGGUGAUUUAAUCAUGUUCCAGGAAGAGUGACUUAGAAGCUGAAUAUGCUAGGCGGUUGUAGAUAUGUUGUCAUACUCGUAUGAAGCAAUUAGCACAUGCUCCCUGAGGACACAAAAGAGACAUGCUGAACAAGUUGUUUAUGCAUUUAUACAGGCCCUAAAUGAAUUAAUGCUACUCUGCGACAUAGACUGGCUACAUAAACUACUUAUUUGAAUGUUCUCUAUGUUUUUUUUGGGGUAAACAUCAAAUUGUCCCCUUGUAGCUUAGCUUAUUUUCACUUUUACCACUCUGUGGUUCAAAGAGUUUCACUUUACCCACUUAAUGACAUAAUGUAUUUAAUACAUACUGAAUCAAACUCUUCUGCAGUGAUAUGGGAUAGCUUGCAGUGGGGAAUUCUCUAGUGAAUGUUUGGACUAACCCUAUUGAUGCAAGUCUAUGCUGUUUCCAGAUUGCCCCUUUCUAGAUGUGUAGCUAUUCUUGAUAAUCUAACCGGCCUAAGAUUGAUUAGAUGUCUUGUAUCGAGUAUUAACAAGCUAUCAGAACCUAAAUGCAUUGUCUUCAUUUAUUUUGGUGAUCAUUGAGUGCCAUUCUUUUAUGAAUUUGCCGUUAUACUGAAAGCUUUAUCUGACAAAGGAUGGAUUUUUCUUGCAGGAAUUAAGGAUGUACAAUCCAAAUUACUUAGAGCGACCUUACAUUGUGGUGUUAAACAAGAUUGACCUACCAGAGGUGAUUUAUUCUACUGUCUUUAAAUAACUAUGAGGUCUUUUAGGAAUUUAUUUUAUUAUUAUUAUUAUUAUUAUUAUACUUUUUCAUUGAUGCCAUUAAUUUUUAAGUAAAAUCGACAAGACUUAUGACAUAACUAUUCCAAGUCCUUGCAUUAUUUAACUGUUCUUUUUUUCCCCCUCGACAGGCUCGAGAUAGGUUGGCAUCCCUGAUACAAGAUAUUUCAAUGAUUGGAUGUAGAGAAACAACGAAAUUAAAUAUCAGACCAAAAAUGUUGACUGAAAAUAAAAAUGAACAUUCGGUUUCCUCGGGCACAGGUUGUGAAGAGAUAAAAGAGAAGGAAAUCGAGGAUUAUCCGCAACCUCUAGCAGUUGUUGGGGCAAGCGUAUUGUAAUAUCUUAUACUCCCAGUUGAAAAUUUUGCAUUUUCUUUCAAGCAGCCAUACUUAAUUUAGUUUGAUUAAUAGUUUGCAUGAUAAAAUUCUACUGUAUUUUACACCUCAAGCUAGAUAAUUCUUGUGUUAAUACCUAUAGGUUUGUAAAGCUUAUGUUCUUAGGCAUCAUAAAACUCAUACAGCACAUAAUCAGAUGUCUCAUGACUAUUCGUCGUUAGGCAUUAUAAUCUACAGUAAAACUCUUACCAUGAAUAUUUGGUUUUCUCAGUGUUUUACGACUAUUCCUUGUUUUGAGUUCUUGACUAAGAACUAGUUAGAAGAUAGAAAAUGUUUAAUUGACAAACUUAGGAUACCCAAGUGAUUUCCAUCUGUAUUACUCCAAACUAAAGCAACAAUUACCAGAAACUUUCCUGCAAAAUGCAACCAAGGGACACCGCCAGAAGUAAGGCCUCCUGUAACAAAUGGUCAUCUGAUAAAGAGUACCUAUAUUACUUCGUGGGUCAGAAGUUUUACCCUUUUCAGUUAGUUCAUGUCUCUAUUACAUUUCUGAGAGCUUUUCAGAGAAGCUGCAGCCAUCCUCAAGACUUCUUGGUGAAGCCAUACAAGGAUACUUCACAUUUAGGCUCCCUUUAUCAUCUCAAAAGUUUCAAACUUUUCCAUGAAAGAAGAUCCAACUUAGCCACAAAAAGUAAAAAAGUAAACUCGCUCGGCGCAGCAUAGGUACUGCAAAUGGUGGGCAUCCUGUAGUCAAGUUGAUAUCGCAUUCAAUUUUAGAUUAAGGUAAAUGCUGCCCCAGGAUCAAGAAACUCCUGGUCUGGUGGUGAUUUAAUUGAGGAUUUUCUGUCAACUUUGAUUGAGGAGGUCCUAUUAUAUCUGUUACCCUUUUGUAUAUGGCCAUCCAUUUGGUGUUUGAACUCUAAUGCUUUCUAUACAGGUACAUGUUCCCUUCUAGAAGGGAUUUAGUCUAUUUCUUAAUCUGAGCCGCAAAAUUAUGGGUCUAAUUCUCAAAUAUUAGGGCCACCUAGUGUAAGAGAGUUGAAUUUUUUUUGCUGAAAUAAUUCUGCCCAUAUUAAUUGAAUUCACAGUUUUAAGCGACUUUUGAACUUUUGUAGGUAACUGCGUGACUUGUGUCUUAUAUUAGGUUCUUCAAUGUUGCGAACAAUGUCGAUUCAGGAAAUAAUGUAGUCCUCUUCUUUAGUACUAGCAAGUUACUAACAUAUACUGCAAGCUUAUAAAUUUAUUUUCCAUGUUGUGUUUAUGUGUGAAUUAGUCAGAAAUUUGCUUCUAAAAUUUCUUGAAGUUAGACAGUGGUGAUUCAAUUGCAUUUUUUUCUAGCUCCAGCUGUCAAAUUUUGAGUUAACUGCUCUUCGUUACCUAUGUAUGAAAUGAAGAAAGAAAAAUUAACUCCAAUUCUGUGUUCGAUAAAAAGGGUGAAAUCGUGUCAUGCCUCCGGUUUAGUCAUCUAGUUAAGGUAUUCAGAAUAUUUUGUUGCAUCUUUAUUUCUGUCGAUUAAAGCAACUUAUCUUUGGUUUCCUUGUUAACUUACGUUUGGUUCAUUCUUUUCGCGUAUUUGUCCUCAUUACUCUUAUUGUGGUUAUUGUUGCAGAAAACACAUUGGCAUAGAAGAGAUGCUUAUAGAGAUAAGGGCUGGCCUAAGAAAGUGUUGGGAUUUAGACAAGUCACUGGAAACAGAAACAACAGGGUUCCUUCCAUCAUAAUUUUCUGAGAUAGGAAAGUUCUAAAGCUUGCACAUGUACUGCAAGAUGGUAUGAAACUACACGUGGCAAGGCCACAAAUUUGAGCUUUUGCAGAUGGCAUAUUUCAUGUUCUUUUAGCUUCUCUCCCUUUUUCAAUAGAUUUUUUGGAGUUUCUAACUCAGGUUGUGCACUUGCAUAUGAGGCUAAUAAAAAGCUAAUAGUGUUGCACGCUCGAUUAUCAUAAAUGAAAUGCAUGAUUUUCUUGGGAGAGAAAACAAACACUUUAUUGUAAUAUAUCUUCUGUUUGAUCAGUCUAUAAUAUUUCUAAGCUACUUUUGUGCAAUACUAGAGAACUGAGUUGCAUGGUUAAUAUCUGUACAUCUUUCUCAUACAGUGUAAAUAACUCUUAUAAGGGGAUACUUGAUUUUUCAGUGCUUUUUUGAUAAAUUGAGUGUCUUCUACUAAGUAGGAAUUAUAUGUAGUAGUAUUUUACAUACUGUAUGUUGCUAUCCGUUCUGAGCAUUAAAUGGCAACUCUAUUGUAAGAAUCAGGAAACUUGCGCUGACUCGUUUCUGUACUAUCUUCAUAUUGCAACUUAGUCCCUAAACUUGUCAUAUUUUACUAUAGAGAGGCCCUUUUAGAUAUUGCAACGUAGUCCUUAAACUCAAUGCUUUAAAACCCUGGUUGAUUCGGCCUGUUGGAUCAUGAAUGAGUGCUCAAACUAGUUUAGUUCGAUCCGUAAAAUCUGAUCCGCUUUAGUCUGUUUAUGUCAGUAGUUCAAUCUGUGAACCAGCCCGAUCGAUGGCCGUUUGUGUAGUAAGCUGGCCUUUGUGAGGAAGCUGGCCUUUGUGAAGCCUGGCGAUCGAUGCUGCAUAGACAAUCUUGAGCUGGGACUGGGAGCAGUUCAAACAUAAGUGGGCUCCAUUUGAGGACGCGGUGUAAGGGGCAGUUCUAUGUGGUUAUUGUUGGCUUAAAUGGGCCAAAUUUCUGCCUUGUAGCGGAAGGUUAUGUUGGAUCAAGUCAUGUUCGAAAUGAUGUGAGGUUAGGUGGGUCGAAUCAUGUUCGAAGUCGAGUGAGGCUGGGUGAGCCGAGUCACAAUCGAGACUCGUGGACACUGUAUCUAUACGUUUUAAGUGAAUUGAUUGCGUAUUUCUAAUAGCUCAAGCUUUUGAGAUUAAUGGUUAGCGCCAAUGAUCCGAUAGUUAGCACGGCACGGUUAUGAGAUGCUGCUUCCCUCCAGUCGGAAGCGAUGAAAAGCCUGUCACUGAGGUGAUCACACCUUCGGGCAUCCCGCCAACGUGUUGGUCAGGGAAACUUCUACGUAUCUGGUCGGACAGCAAGGUGAGCUGCUGCAGAUUGUAAGAAGCCAACGGGACUCCGAGGAGAGCAGAGAGUAGCGUCUUCUCACAAACAGCUUCUACAUAUUUAGGCUUGUAACUGGUCGCAAUGUGUGGGAUAUGAUGUAUGCCUUGCGCGACCACGCCAUUUUUCCCAGGAAGCGCACAACCGUGGCCGUGUUGGCUAGCCAUUUUCGAGAGUGCAAGCGCAACUGCAUCUACUUUACCGACGACUAUGACCUGGACUGCUUGUGCUCUGACCGUGGAGGGGGGUUGUGACACAGGCUACUGCACCUUGGUAGAUAAACAGAUUGAAUUUCUGGAAAAUGUUGAGUCGUUCUCUUCGUUUUCUCUUCCGAUCUGGGCCUCUCUAUCUAAGCAGUACAGGUUUUAUGAAUUCACCUCCCACAGAUAAUUUUUUUCCCCCUAUCUAAGCAGGAUUUCUGCCAUCAUAAUUGUCCUAGAUAGGAAAUGUCUACGCACGCUUGCACAUACAUUAAAAGAAGCUGUGAAAUUUUCUGGUGUCAAUUGUACAAGUAGAAGUUAUUUAGCUCUUUUCGCAAAUCGUUUGGGCUUCUGCAAAUGGCAAUAUUCACGUUCUUUCGGUUUCGAAGUCUCCAAUUCUCAACGGUUGUGCACUUGCAUACGAGGCAAACUUAAAAGAAGCUAAUAAUAUUGUAUACUACAUUAUCAUAAAUGAAAUGGCUGAUUUUGUCGAGACAAUAAAAACCUUUAGGGUGCGUUUGGUUCGCGCUAUCUUUUAAAGAUUCCUAGUAAUCCAAUGUGAAUAAAAAAAUAUGACGGUGUUUGGCUAAACGCACUAAGUAAUCUAGUUGGUAAUAUUGAAUUCACUUGGGAAUAAGAUUCACCCCAAAAUACUAAUCUCAUUCCCUUGAGGGAGGGUGGGUAUCCUCAUAUUAAUGGAUUGGGAUAAUCAUAAUAUGUCUAAUCUCUUUCUUUCUUCCUACCCGCCGGCUAAUUGAUAUUAUUUUUCUUUACACUCUAACCUUAUAUCUCUCUCUAAACUUAUUUUUCUCUCUAAAAUUCAACUUUUUUUUCUCUCUCUAAACUAAGCUUUCUCUCUCUCUCUUUCUAAAAUUUCAACUCUCUCACUCCCUCUAAUUUUGACUAUAUUGUUCUUUCUAUUUUUUUAAUUAUGCUCUCUCUCUCUAACUUAUACUCUCUCUUCCUUUUUUCUAAAAAGAUGUUGAAACUUUUGGUAACAUUAUCUAAAAUUAAUUAAAUAAAUAAAUUAAUUAAUUAUAUAUUUUUUGUAAUAUUAAAUAACAUGGCUAAUUAAUAUUACCGUGCGAACCAAACAUAGGAAUUUCAAAUUCUUAGUAAUAGGAUGAAUAGGAAUAAGAUUCUCGGAUAUCUUUUAUUCCUAGUAAUCUUUCAUAAUGCGAACCAAACGCACCCUUACUGUAAUCUGCUUCACCGUAAUCUUAUCUUUUGUCUGAUAAGUAUAUAAAUUUUUUAUGCAACUUUUGAAUAAUAUUUUUUUGAGAAAAGAAUAGCACACUAUCUGCUUCAUUAAUUAGGAAUAUGAACUUAAGCUACAUUGGAUGCACAUCGUCCCACUUUUGUGCAAUACUACUGAACUAAGUUGCAUGGUUACUAAUUGUACAUUGGGUAACUUACCGACCGUCCCUAGAGCAAAUGGCAAAAGACUUGGUGGUUGGUACCUGAGACCCAAGUUCAAAUUCUAGUUGAUUCACAUUUUCAGCUAAGUUUACUUUCUAAAUGAAAUAAACAAAACGGAUAGUGUGCUACCUAUCAAAAAAAAAAAACAAAUUAUGUAACUUUCUUCAGAGGACAUGAUUUUUUUUUAAGUCUUUUUAACAAAACGAAUGUCUUCUACUCUGCAGGAAAAUGUGACAGUAUUUUACAUAUGACAUGACUAAGCUAAUUAUGCUGAACUAGUGUAAGGCCACACUUCGCGGCAGAUAGAUAGUAUUUCAGUCAAUUAAGAUAUAUAUAAUUAUUAAAGCUUUAAAAUUGAAAAGUCAUAAAUAAUUAAAAGAAUUAUAAAGUAACCAUCUGUAUAUUAUAAAAAUAACUUUUUAUUAAUAUUUUCUUAGCUUACAUAUUCUAUAACUGUAUUUAAAAAUUCAAUCAACUUUAAUAAUUUUGGUAGCUAUUUAUAAAUAAUUUUUUUAACUAAAACUUUAACAUUGGAGGACUUAUUUUUAAAUUGCCAAAAAGGCGAAAAUGUCUUUACUUUGUUAAACUUGAUUGGAAAAAAAAAAAAAAACUAUUAUAUGCAUAUGGUGUACAUUAAUAAUAUAUAUACCACAAUAGAUCCUAACGAUAGGGAUAUAUUUGAAAACAUUAUAACUUUUGCAGAAAUAAAAAGAAAAAGUUGAAUCUUGCAAGAAUAUAUUUAUAAUUCGAUAUGUUUACAAAAAGCUAUGUCAAUUAAUUCUAUAAAAAUGACACAAGUAACAUGAAAGAUUAAAAAACUUUAAGUAAACCAUAUAGUGUAGAACUCAUAUAUGUGAUUUAAAAAGUAUAUAAAUUAUAAACAAAUAACUAAAAAAAUCAAAAAUAUUCUAUAAGACUAGCUUUAAUUGUACUUUAAAUAAGGUAAUAAAAACAUAAAGAUAAAAAAGUUAUUUUAUAUAUUUAAGUAAUUCUUACCACAAAUACACAGUUGCAACCCCAAAUGAGAUUUUUAUUACUUUGUUUUAUUUACUUAGUAACUCUUACCACAAAUACACAAAAAAAAAAAAACAAAUUUCAAAGAGAAUUCACAUCAUUUCGAUCAAUUAUAUAGAGAUUAGAGCGCACACAAUGAAAUAAUUAAGAUAAAACAAAAAUCUUAGGCCUUUUUAGCAGAAAAAUUGGGUAUUUUAUUAAUUGAUUUAAUUGGCUAAUUUCAUAUAGACUUGGAAAAAGCGAAAUAGGAUUAGGUCCUACAAAUUCAAGAUGGGUAAAUUGCAUUGUUACCCUGAACUUUUGGUGAAGUUUCACUUUACUCCUCGAACUUCUAAAAUGGACAUCUAACACCCUAAAUUUUAAUAUUUCAUUCAUGUUACUUCUUCCGUCAAUUUGCCGUCAAGCUCAGUUAACCAGAAAUUGACGAAAGAGGUAAAACGAAUGAAAUAUUAAAGUUUAGGGUAUUAGAUGUCUAUUAUAGAAGUUGGGGGGGUUAAGUGAAACUCGCCAACAGUUUAGGAGGUAGCAGUGCAAUUUACCCUGUAGAAUUCUUGACUAUAAAUUAUUUUAUUAUAAUAUAUUACUUAUGGAUUAACUACUAACGCUCAAGUUAGUGAUCAUACUUGAUUUUGAAUUUAUAUAUAUUUUUUAUCCUAAAAUAAAUCAUACCAUAAUUUAUACUACAUUUUAUUGUAAUAAAAUAAAAGUGAAAGAAAUGAAUUAGAGUGACUUAAAGAUAAGAAAAAAGUGAUAUAACUAACUACCUACGAUUGCUCGAACACUCCAAUGUCCUGGUGUACUUGCUAAUAUGGUUUGUUUACAAUAUGUGUCCUCACUAGGAUAUAGAGAUUUUAAUUCUCAGUUAAUUUUCUGCGGUACUCGUUUGAGCAUUAUUAUAAGAAAUGCAUUUAUUUUCUAUGAAACUAUGCAAUGUAAUUUUAUUAUAGCAUAAAAUAAAAUUUUUAUACUUAAUUUCAACCAAUUAAAAGUUUUUAAUAUAAGAAUAUAAAAUAAUAAUUUAUUAGAAAAUGCACUUAUUUCUUAUGAAACUAUGCAAUGUAAUUUUAUUGUAGCCUAAAAUAAAAUUUUUGUACUUCAUUUCAGCCAAUUAAAAAUUUUAAUUAUAAAAAUAUAAAAUAAUAUUUUAUAAUACUUUAGAAUAAUGCUUCUAAAGAUAAAAGGGACAAACGAGUACUACAGAAAAUUAACUGAGAAUUAACAUCUCUAUAGCCGAGUGAGAACACCUAUUGUAAAUCAAUCGUAUUAGCGAGUACACGAGGACAGUAGUGUUCGAGCAUCGUAGAUAGUUAGUAUCGCUCUUUAUUUAUAUUUAAGUCACUCUAAUUCAUUUCUUUCGCUUUUAUUUUAUUACAAUAAAAUAUAGGAUAAAUUAUGAUAUGAUUUAUUUUAGGAUAAAAAAUAUAUAUACGUAUAAUAUAUAUACUAUAUUAUAUACCGCUAUAUAAUAUAGUAAUAUAUAUAUAUAUAUUCAAAAUCAAGUAUAAUCACUAAUUUGAGAGUCGGUAGUUAAUCCAUAAGUAAUAUAUUAUAAUAAAAUAAUUUAUAGUCAAUAUCAUAGGGAAUAAAUUGCACUGCUACCUCCUAAAAAUUAAAUAUGAUUACUAAUUUGAGAGUCGGUAAUCAAUUCAUAAGUAAUAUAUUAUAAUAAAAUAAUUUAUAGUCAAGAUCCUAGGGGGUAAAUUGCACUGCUACCUCCUAAACUUUUAGCGAAUUUUACUUAACCCCCCAAACUCCUAAAAUAGACAUCUAACACCCUAAGCUCUAAUAUUUCAUUCGUUUUAUCCCUUUCGUCAGUUUUCGGUUAACGGAGGUUGGCAAAAAACUGACGGAAUGGAUAACAUGAAUGAAAUAUUAGAGUUUACUGGGUUAGAUAUCCAUUUUAGGAGUUCGAGGGGUAAAAUGAAACUUCGCCAGAGGUCAAAGGUAACAAUGCAAUUUACCCAAUUCAAGAUUGUAUACAAACUUAAUGAGAUAAAAACAAAAGUCAUGUAAAAAAAUAUAGCAAUAAUAAAAAAGGGCAAUCGCUUAUAUACUUCUGAAAAAUUUUCAACUUUCUAAUUUACUCCUCUUAGAAGGCUAAUAUUAAAAAUACCUUUUUUACGUUCCAACAUAUUUCAAAUAUACCCUUAGAGUUAAAAUCUGUUAAUAAAUUUUAGUAUUUCUAUGAAUUUACUAUUUUACUAUUUUAAAUAUACCCUUAUACCAUCACCAACUUUUCUUCUUUGCCCUUAAGUUAGGAGCACAAAAGUAUUUUGACUUUUGAUCUUUUCAAAUAUACCCUUCUACAAUCGCCUACAUUUUUAUUUGUUCUUAAGUUAAGGACAAAAUGCCGACUUUUCCUAUUUGCCCUUAGGUUAGGGGCACAAAAAAAUAUUUUGCCUUUUAGACUUUUCAAGUAUAUCCUUUUACCAUCACCAAUAUUUCUUAUUUGCUCUUAAGUUAAGUGCUAAAGUGAUAUUUUAAUUUUUUUUAACUGUAUUAGAUAUUUAACUCACGUUUAACCAAGCUAACUUAACAGAUGAUAACUGUAGGCACGGAGGAACAUAUGAGAAGUAUAUUGGAAAGAAAUAAAUAGUAAAAAUAAAUAAGAUAUUUUUACAAUUUGCAGGGAUAUAUAGACAAUUAUUCCUAAAAAAAAAUGGAUGCGCUCCUCGAACACUGGUAGAAGAAUAUCAGCCGAUCCAUGGACCAUGGUAGAAGAGUAUCACGGCGAUGCGCUCCUCGAACACCGGCGGGGGCUCAAUAGCGCCAUCGUCGGAGCCCUUCUCGCCAUCGUCGGAGGAGGCUUCGGUGCCACAGUGGGAAUCGUCGAAGUUUGAGUUGAGAUUAAUUUGCUAAAUAUAAAUUUAAUAGAGUUAUUUCUCAAAUUUAAAAAUUUUAAAAAAUUAUUUUAUAAUUGGAGGAGUACGAAAACGUAACACAUGGUACAAAAGAGAGUGCCAAAUAGAAAUUUGUACUGGUAUUGACGAUUGAUGAUAAUAUAUAUAGAUAUAGAUACAGAUAUGGCUAGUUUCUAAACAUUUUGAUGGUGCAACUCAAUCCAUAAACUUCUUCUAUAUUGCAAUAGAAAAAGCCAUCUUGAUAUCGCAAUUUAGUCCUUAAACUUCUAUACUAUCUUGAUGCUGCGACGUAGAUGUCCCAAAACCACUCAUACAUUGUUACAUAAAAAGCUAUUCUUCCUAAGCAGAGCCUAUGCACAAAGUGAACAGAAUUUGCAAACUGAAUUAGUUGGUACUGGUACGAAGCUCUAUGCCCUUAGAAUCAUGUAUAAAAAAUUAGUUAAGGAUGUUAUCGUGAUAAUUAAUUAGAGGAUUAGGUACUUGAUUAAUGAAACUUGGGUAAAAGGAUAAGAAUCUUGUUACAAUAACUAGAAAGAUAGAGACUCAAUUUAAACUUUGAUAUCUAUAUAAUCUGAAAUAUCUAAUAUAUAUUAAUAAAAAUAAUAUCUGGUAUAUCUUAUUGCACAACGUGGAAAAUUAUAAUCAAACUAUUAUAACCUACCAUUAUAAACUUUAAAUAUUGUGUUAUCUAAAUUUAAUGAUGAUGACGAUAAUGAUGAUAAUAAAAAUAAUAGUAAAAGAUGAAACUUAAAUACUUAUACUGUGAAAUUUUUUUUAAAAAAAUCUACCUUUCGUUUAGAAAUUAUUAUUUUUUAAUUAUAAAUAAUUAUAUGUUUUAUAAUAAAACUUUAGGUAAACUUCAAAUUUCUCCUGUAUAGUUAAUCUUAUUUUUACUUUGUCAUCAUCUUGUAGUUUUAAAAAUUACACUUUACUACCUACGGUAUAAUUUUUAUUUUACCAAAAAAGAAAGUGCAACUUUUUCAACAUGGUGACAUGGUGUAGAUAGAGUGAAACUAUGGGAGGGUAAAGUAAAACUUUUCAAACCACAAAAGAGGCAAACUAAAAAUAUGUUAUACCACCGACCGUCUCUAGAGUGAGUGGCAAAGGGUUUGAUGGUAGAUACCCGAGACCCAAGUUUGAAUCCUAGUUGAUUUACAUUUCCAACUAAGUUUAUUUUUAAAUGAAAUAAACGAAGCGGGUAGCGUGUUACCUAUCUCUCUCAAAAAAAGAAAAAAAAAGUUAUACCACAGGGGUUAAUUUGAAAUUUACCCUUGGGCCAAUAAUGAUGACGUUUAUUAGCCUAAUCAAAGCGAGCCAUCGCAAUUAUAACAGAAAUUAGUUAUCCGACCCUAGACCGAAUAGAAGUUGGUUAUCCUAUAUAUCCAGGUAGGAUAAAUCGGGAUUGAAUCCUAAUAAAUGUCUGAUUCCGACUCGGACUCUAAUUAAAUUUUAACCCUAUAUAUAACGUAACGUAACGGAGAUUAAGGCCGGCGCAGCAUCUGAUCUGAGGUAUUGAAUUUUGAAGAAGAAGAAGAUGGCCAACGACGACGACGCUCUGUCCUCCUCUCGGCCAUGGUCUCAACUUCCUGCCGAGAUCUUAGCGCAAGUUCUUCACCGAAUCAAUCCCAACGAGGAAUUCACCCGCUUCGCCUCCGUCUGCAUGGCAUGGGGCGCCGUGGCCGCGAAAGAGCCGCUGUCUCUCCCGCAUCAGAUGCCGUGGCUGCUCCUCACCGAGGAGGACUACCCCGGCGAGAGGGAGGGGUGCGACGCCCGAAGCUUCUACAGCUUGUCGGAGGACAAGAUUCACGAACUGGACCUUCCGGAGGCCUGCCGCCGGAGGUGCGUGGGCUCGACGGACGGCUGGCUCGUAACGGUUGGAGAGGCCUUCGAGGGCGAGGAGAUGCACGUACUCAAUCCCGUCAUGCGAACUCGACUACCGCUUCCGCCCCAGUCCACGCUUGUUCUCCCUGUCGAAGAAUACGAAUUUCCGGUGCGGCUGCGAGCGCGGGGGUAUCUAGGAGGAGAAGGAUCGGAAGAAGAAGUGGAAGCGCUCGCAGCGCUACUAGCCGAAGAAGAAGCAGCAGAGCAAGACGCGGGGGAAGUAGCCGAGAUGGGGCCGCAAGGUGAUCUUAUCCUGCAGCCCCAUGGCGGAGGACUCGGACUCGGACUGCAUAGCUUUCGCCAUUUACGGGAGGUUAUGUAAUAAGCUGGCCUUUGCGAGGCCCGGCGACGCUGCGUGGACUAUCUUGAGCUGGGACUGGGAACAGUUCAAGAACAAGUGGGGUCCGUUCGAGGACGCCGUGUACUACAAGGGGCAGUUCUAUGUGGUUAAUUCUCACGGCACGGUCAUGAGAUGCCGCAUCCCUCCGGUCGGAAGCAGUGAAAAGCCCGCAGCUGAGGUCAUCGCCUUCGGGCCUCCCACCGACGAGUGGGUCUGGGGAAAUUCUAGGUAUCUGGUUGAACUCCGAGGUGAGCUGCUGCAGGUUCUGAGAAGGCAAUGGGAGUCGGAGACGAAGAACGGAGAGCAGCGGCUCCUGACGGACGGCUUCUACAUCUUCAGGCUCAAUACUGAUCACAGCGCGUGGGAUAUGAUGUAUACCCUGGGCGACCACGCCGUUUUUCUCGGGAUGAGCACGACUGUGGCUGUGCCCGCGAGCGACUUUCGAGGGUGCAAGCGUAACUGCAUCUACUUUACCGACGACUAUGACCUGGACCGGUGGUGCUCCGACCGUGGAGGGGGCUGCGACACGGGCUACUGCACCUUGGUAGAUAAACGGAUCGAAUUUCUGGAAAACGUCGAGUCCUACUCUCGCUUUUCUCCUCCGAUCUGGGUCUUUCCAUCUAUGCGAUAAACGUUUCAAGAAUCUAUCUCACAAGUCACAACACUAGUUCGUUUGCAGAACGUUUAAUUCUUCUUCUGUUUUGGCUUAUUUAGAACUAGAGAGCAAAUUAACUUCCAUGAAAGAAGAUGGAGAUCUAGCUACUUUUGUUUCGGUUUUUUUAUUUUAUUUUUUAUUGAGCUUGUUCUUUGAAGUUUGACAUAAUAAGAGUUCUCACCAAAAUUCCUCAGUUUUCAGAUGUCAUAUGACGUCUGUAUUUUAGAACUAUUUAUCUUUGUUGAUUCACCAACCUUUCCUAAAACAAGUGACAAAAGGUUUCGUGAUUGGUAUCUAAGGUCCCAAGUUCGAAUUCUAGUUGAUUUACAUUUUCAGCUAAAUUUAUUUUUAAAUGAAAUAAACGAAGUGGGUAGCAUUCUCUCUCAAAAAAAAAAAAAAAAAAAAAAAAAAAUUCUUUGUUGAUUCAAUUAAGCAUAUCCAUAUAAUAAAUACAUUAAUUGACAGUUUAUAGGGUGGACCAAAAUAUUUCUAAGAUAUUCAAGGUAGCUCCUUAGCUCCUUAAGAUUUUUCAAGACAGCCCUUUGGCUCCUUUCCAAGAUUGGGCCAGAUUGGACCAAAAUAUUUCCAAGAUAUUCAAGACAGCUCCUUAACUCCUUCUCAAGAUUUUUCAAGACAGCUUCUUAGCUCCUUCCCAGGUUGGGCCAGAUUUGACCAUGAUAUUUCCAAAAUAUUCUGGUUUUUCAAGAUAAAUCUAUAACAUACAUGAAUUCUCAGUUUUGGAACAGGUGGCGAGCGUGGAGGCAGGGGCGAGCGCGGGGCGCGGGCAGGCGGGCGCGCGUGGCGGGGCGCCGCGUGGCGCGGGCACGCGCGGCACACGGGCGCGGGCAAGGAGGCGCAGAGCCGGGCGGGGGCGCGGGGACAGGUGGCGCGAGCGGCGAGCGGAGGCGCAGGCAGGGGCGAGCAUGGGGCACGGGCCGACGGCGGCGUGGCGGGCGCCGCGCGCGGGCGGCGGGCUGCGCGGCAGGCGGGCACGUGGGGCGGGGCACCGCUGGCGCGGUGGGGGAGAAGGAGAGGGAGAGGAGAGGGAGAGCGGCGCUCAGUGGGCGGGCAGCCGUGGCGCGCGGCGGCGGCGCGGCAGGCGGGCGCGCUCGGCGGCCCGCCGCGUGGCGCGGGGAGAGAGCGGGAGAGGAGAGGAGAGGAGAGGAGAGGAGAGGCGGGGCCCAGCUGAGGGGAGAGGAGAGGGAGAGAAAGGGAUUUUUUUUUUUUGUCUCUUUUGUCUCUUUCUACUUUUUCUUUUUAUUAUUUUAUAUAUUUGUUCUCUUAAUAUAUAAAAAAAUUUAUAAAUUUUUUUAAUUCAAUCUAAAUUUUUAUUUAUUUUUAUAAAAUUUAAAAUAUAUAAAUAAUUUUAAAUAAGUUAAAUUAUUUGUAUUCAAUAUAAAUUUUAAUUAAGCCUGAAUAAAAGAAUUAUUAAAAAUAUAUAAAAAAUAAUGAAGGAAAUUUAAAAAUGAAACAUAAAAAAGUAAAAAAAAAAAAUAAAAGGAUAAGAUAGAUAAAAGAAGCAUGAGGCAAAAUGUAAGAACAAUAAAUCAAUUUUUCUAAAAAUUAUAUAUAAUUAUAAUAAUAAUUAUAAUAUAUAUAAGUAUAAAUAUAAUUAUAUAUAAUUUCUUAUUAGUAUGAUUUUUGUCUUUAUUUUUUGUAAUCUUUCUUAUAAUUUUAUUACAGCAAUAGUUGUUUAUUUUUUAGUUAUUUUUUUAUACAAUUUUUUGACUCUUUUUUUUACUAUUAUUUAUUUUAUUUAUAUAUUUAUUUCUGCAGAAUCGUUCCGCCGCAACGCGCAGGUCCUUCACUAGUACAUAUAUGAAUCUUCAGUUUUGGGACAGUUGGCAGCGAGAGCGGAGGCGCCGGUGGCUGCGGGCGCGGGGCACGGGCAGGCGUGGGGCGCCUAUAGGUUUGUAAAGCUUAUGUUCUUAGGCAUCAUAAAACUCAUACAGCACAUAAUCAGAUGUCUCAUGACUAUUCGUCGUUAGGCAUUAUAAUCUACAGUAAAACUCUUACCAUUAAUAUUUGGUUUUCUCAGUGUUUUACGACUAUUCCUUGUUUUGAGUUCUUGACUAAGAACUAGUUAGAAGAUAGAAAAUGUUUAAUUGACAAACUUAGGAUACCCAAGUGAUUUCCAUCUGUAUUACUCCAAACUAAAGCAAUAAUUACCAGAAACUUUCCUGCAAAAUGCAACCAAGGGACACCGCCAGAAGUAAGUGUAGAAAUGACAAGCAGCGAGAAUGGUUCGAUAACCUCUAAGGAGGGUAAAACAAUGGAAGGCAGAUAGCAUAAAACAGAGCACUUACACAAUAUCCAUUUCCACAGCUAAUAUUAAGCAAUAAGUUCACUAACCUAUAAUUCCUAAAAACUAGGAUCAGCUUAACAAAUCCUAAGGACUCGAUAACAGAAUAACAAAUAAACAGCAAUAUGUUAACAAUACGCAAUACUUGGUCACAAAGCAACCCACAUGCUGGUGUUGUUUUAUUCAAUACUCCCCCUCAACACCAGCUUCUACUCCUUUUACCAUACCGAGCUGAUGACAUAAACUUUCGAACUUGUUGCUAGUCAAGCUUUUUGUAAACAGAUCUGCAGCUUGGUCUUCUGUUCUGACAUGUUCCAACUUAAUUUCUUCUUGCAAGACUCUCUCUGAUAAAAUGAUAAUGCACCUCCACAUGCUUAGCUCUUGCAUGAAAAACUAGAUUCUCCGCCAAACGUAUUGCCGACAAGUUGUCACAAUACAAAGAGAUACCAUACUCUGUUGGCUGAUGCAAGUCUUUCAAUAAUCGCAUAAGCCAAGUGCUUUCUUGAGCUGCCAUUGCUGCUGCUCGGUACUAUGCUUCAGUGGUUGAUAAAGACACUGUUGGUUGUCUUUUGCUACACCAAGAAAUUGCUCCGAACCCAAGCAUGAAAACAUACCCGGUAGUUGAACGUCGAGUAUCAUGGUCGCCUGCAUAGUCAGCAUCACAAUAGCCAACUAGUCUGCAAUUCGCACCUUUCUUGUACAUAAUACCAUACCCAAGCGUACUCUUCACAUACCUCAAGAUUCGACGAAAAGAUUCCAAAUGAGUUUUCUUUGGACUUUGCAUGUAACGACUCAUCACACCAACUGCAAAAGAAAUAUCUGGUCUUGUUAAAGUUAAGUAGAUAAGACUACCCACUAACUGCCGGUACAUGGUAGCAUCUUCUAAAUCCUUCCCUUCAUGAGCACACAUUUUGGCGUUUGGCUCCAUCGGUGUCGAAAUUGGCUUGCAUUUAAGCAUUACAAACUUCUUCAACAAAUCUUUGGAAUACUUUUGCUGAUGGAGAAAUAUUCCUUCCUUAGUACAGUCAAUCUCUAAACCAAGAAAAUGCUUGAGCUUUCCAAGUUCUUUCAUCUGAAAGCGAACUGACAAAUUCUCCUUGGUUUGGAGAAUUUCUUCUUCACAAUCGCCCGUGAUGAUUAAAUCAUCCACAUACACCAGCAAAAUAGCUAGCUUCCCUCCUUUAGUUUUGACAAACACGUUAGAAUCCGCAGAUGUCAUAGAAAAAUCGCUAUGAGUGAGAAAUUCGGCAAUCUUACCAUACCAAGCCCUCAGUGCCUGUUUUAAUCCAUAGAGAGCCUUCCGGAGCUUACACACAUACUCAGGAUGGUCUUGACUUUGAAAGCCCAUCGGUUGGCUUAUGUAGAUCUCCCGAUCUAGCUCCCCAUGCAAAAAUGCAUUCUUCACGUCCAUUUGCCACAAGUUCCAACUUUUGCUAGCUGCAAGUGCUAGUAAGACUCGUACAGUUGUAAACUUUGCAACUGGACUAAACGUUUCAUCAUAGUCUAGUCCAUAUUGUUGAGAGAACCCUCGGGCGACCAGACGAGCCUUGUGCCUUUCUAUUGAUCCAUCUGUGCGACGCUUUAUUUUGUACGCCCAUUUGCAAGAAAUAGGUUUCACAUCUCUUGGCUUUGAUACGAGUUCCCAAGUCUAAUUUUGCUUUAAUGCAGCAAUUUCCUCUUCCAUAGCUUUAAUCCAUUCCGGACUCUGGGAUGCUUCCUCAAAUGUCUCUGGUUCUUUUGCAUCUGCUUCUUCUACUAUGGCGGCAUUGGCAUACUUGGGAUUUGGCUUUCUGGCUCUUGUUGAUCUUCUAAGUGCAGUUGGUGUACUUGGCUCGCCUUCUUCACUUGGCCUUUGGUAUACACUUGUUUGCCAAGGAGUUUGAGCUAUGCCUUCUUCAACAUCUCCACCAUCGUCUGCAACCUCUGUUUCACCUGAACUUAACUGAGAUUGAGAAAUUUUUAAUUCUUCCUUAAAAAUAUCUGAGUCUGAGAGUACUUCCUUGUUUGAGGACCACCAUGAGGAAGCUUCAUCAAACACCACAUUCCGAGAUGUGUAGCACUUCCCGGUUGUUGGAUCGCAACAUCGCCAACCUUUCCUUUGAUUGUCGUAUCCUACAAAGAUACACCAAACAGCCUUUUUUUCCAUCUUGCUACGUAAAUGGUCAGGUACAAAUACAUAGCAUACACAUCCAAAAACUCGAAAAUGACCAACAGCAGGUUUCAUGUUCCAUAUUUUUUCAAAUGGUGAAAGAAAGUAUAACCUUUGUUGAGGAAGCCUAUUGGUCACGAAGGCCGCAGUCUUCAUCGCUUCCGCCCAAAAUCGUCCCGGGACAUUCUUUGCAUGAAGCAUACUUCGACAUACUUCUGCCAGAUGCCUGUUCUUCCUUUCUGCUACCCCAUUUUGCUGCGGAGUGUUGGCACAUGUGAAUUGAUGGCGUAUUCUGCAUUCCCGAAGGAAGUUUGAGAACUCAUGUGAGGUGUACUCUCCCCCGUUGUCGGUGCGUAAGCAACGAAUUCUUUUACCAACCUCCGCUUCCGCUACCUUCUUGAACUGUUUGAACUUUGAAAAAGUUUCAGAUUUUUCUUUCAUAAAAUAAACCCAUACGUACCUCGAGAAGUCGUCAAUGAAGAUCACCAUGUACUUCAUCCCACUAAUGGAGGCUUGCUUAAUUGGUCCAAACACAUCAGAGUGAAUCAACUCUAAUGGUUCCUUCGCUUUAAAUUUGGACUUUUCGUACGGCAACUGAUGCGCUUUCCCAUAUUGACAGCCCGCACAUAUACUAUUUGUUCUCACUUCGAGUUGUGGAAGUCCCUUUAACAUCGACUUCUUCAUCAUCACAUCUAGCUUGGAAUAGCUAACGUGACUUAGCCGCACGUGCCACAAGUCUGCUAUCUCGUUCCUUCUCGUCUUGUCUAUAUAUGCUGUUUCCGCAGACAUCACGUAGACUGACUCCAAUCUUCGUCCCUUCAUUGCUGGCUCUUUUGGAACAUGAUAGACAUUUUGGAGUGGCACCUCGAUAUCAGUGCAUUGGGGAGAGACUACCGUGCUACCGAUGUGAGCUAUCGGUAACUUUGAGUUAUUUGCCGUCACCACCACCCGACUUUCCUUGUACUCUGACAAGUUCUGCAGCUUCUCUAUAUUGCCAGUCAUAUGGUUUGAGCAACCUGAGUCAACGAUCCAAUCAUCCUCAUAAUUGAUUUGAUUAAGUGUUGUUGCUGCAAGGGCUAGCUCCUCUUUUUCCAUAGCAAAGAGAGCCUCAGCAUCCCAUUCGUCUUCACUUUUGGAAGUAGCAGCGUUACUCUCGACGACCUUCUUUUUUGACCAGCAAUCUUUCGCCAUAUGACCCUUCUUUUUGCAGUUGUAGAACUUCCCUUCAAACUUUUGGCCAUUGCGAUAGUUCUUAUAACCUCUCCCAGCACGAACACUCCCUUCACCUUGAUGACUUCUCGCCUUGUCAUCAUUCUUUUUGGAUCCAUCGUUGACAUGCUGCUUGGAAUUCCACCUGCCUUUAUUGGCAUAGAGGGCCUCUUCUUCAUUCUUCAACGAGACUCCUCCCAUUUGCUUAGUUAAGGCUUCUUGACCUGCUAGCAAAUUUUUGAAUUCUACAAGUGACGGCUGAGUUUGCCAUCCUUGUAUAGCAGCAACAAAGCUCCUAAAUUCUGGCUUCAAACCAUGGAUGAUGAUCCGCUUCAUCCUGGUGUCGCCAAUAGGAGCCUUCGGAUCCAACUCAGUAAUCUCUCGGCAUAGCGUCUUCACUUUGUGGAAAUACUGUGCGACCAUCAUGUCGCGUUGUGCUACAGACAGCAAUUCACUCUCUAAGAGUUGAAGCUUCGUAUCGUUCUUCUUAGAGAACAGUUUGGCGAAUGUAUCCCAGGCUUCUUUGGGAGUUUCCGCAGCCCGGAUAUGCUCUAGCACAUCUUCUUCAGCCAUCAUCUUCAAAACGAACAUGGCUUUGCCUGCUUUAAUCUUCCACUUCCGCAAUGUCCCAUUCGCAUCUUCAGCCUCCAGUUGUCUCACAUCAUUUCCAUUUAUGAUCUCCCACAAAUCCUGGCCUUGCAUGUAAGACAUCAUGCAUGUAGACCAAGAAUUGUAGUUCUGGUUGUUGAGCUUCUUGAUUCCGCCAACGACUUGAAGAUCACCCAUCUUGGCAGUAGAGAUACUUACCAAAAAGCUCAGAACCUGGCUCUGAUACCAAAUUAUAGAAAUGACAAGCAGCGAGAAUGGUUCGAUAACCUCUAAGGAGGGUAAAACAAUAGAAGGCAGAUAGCAUAAAACAGAGCACUUACACAAUAUCCAUUUCCACAGCUAAAAUUAAGCAAUAAGUUCACUAACCUAUAAUUCCUAAAAACUAGGAUCAGCUUAACAAAUCCUAAGGACUCGAUAACAGAAUAACAAAUAAACAGCAAUAUGUUAACAAUACGCAAUACUUGGUCACAAGGCAACCCACAUGCUGGUGUUGUUUUAUUCAAUAGUAAGGCCUCCUGUAACAAAUGGUCAUCUGAUAAAGAGUACCUAUAUUACUUCGUGGGUCAGAAGUUUUACCCUUUUCAGUUAGUUCAUGUCUCUAUUACAUUUCUGAGAGCUUUUCAGAGAAGCUGCAGCCAUCCUCAAGACUUCUUGGUGAAGCCAUACAAGGAUACUUCACAUUUAGGCUCCCUUUAUCAUCUCAAAAUUUUCAAACUUUUCCAUGAAAGAAAAUCCAACUUAGCCACAAAAAAUAUAAAAGUAAACUUGCUCGGCGCAGCAUAGGUACUGCAAAUGGUGGGCAUCCUGUAGUCAAGUUGAUAUCGCAUUCAAUUUUAGAUUAAGGUAAAUGCUGCCCCAGGAUCAAGAAACUCCUGGUCUAGUGGUGAUUUACUUGCGGAUUUUCUAUCAACUUUGAUCGAGGAGGUCUUAUUAUAUCUGUUACUCUUUUGUAUAUGGCCAUCCAUUUGGUGUUUGAACUCUAAUGCUUUCUAUACAGGUACAUGUUCCCUUCUAGAAGGGAUUUAGUCUAUUUCUUAAUUUGAGCCGCAAAAUUAUGGGUCUAAUUCUCAAAUAUUAGGGCCACCUAGUGUAAGAGAGUUGAAUUUUUUUUACUGAAAUAAUUCUGCCCAUAUUAAUUGAAUUCACAGUUUUAAACCACAUGCACAAGAUAGCUAAAUAGACUUUUGAACCAAGGGUUUAAGUGCCCGUCGGCACGGGCCGUAUCUACCGUACCGUACCGUGCCAACAAGAUACCAGCAUGAUAUAGACCCCGUGCCGAUGGCACAGUUCAAAACCCUCUAUUCUUUAAAUUAAUAAAUAAUUUUUUCAAUAAAGUUCAAAAUAUGUGAUAAAAAGACAUAAUAAAAAUGUUAAAAUAUUUUGUUGCUAAAGAAAACAAAUAUUUCAUACUAUUAUGUGUCGGCACACAAGAAUUUUUUUGACCGGCAUGCAUUGGCACGGCUCGGCACGUACCGUGCCGGCAAGUUUCCGGCACGACCCCGUGCCACGGCACUUAAAUCCUUGUUUUGAACUCUGUAGGUAACUGCGUGACUUGUGUCUUUUUUUUUUUUUUGAGAGAGAAUAACUUGUGUCUUGAUUCAGUUCUUCAACGUUGCAAUUUGCAAACAAUGUCGAUUCAGGAAAUGAUGUAGUAUUCUUGUUUAGUACUAGCAAGUUACCAACAAUACUGCAAUGUCGUAUUGUGUUUAUGUAUGAAUUUAGUAAGAAAUGCUACUUCUGAAAGACUGGUGAUUCAAUUAGGUUUUUUCUAGCUCCAACUUUCAAUUUUGGGUUAACUGCUCUUCGCUACCUAUGUAUGAAAUGAAGAAAGAAAAAUUAGUGCCAAUUCUGUGUUCAAUAAACUUUGUGGGCAGAAUGAUUUGUCUCACAAAAGAAAGGGUGAAAUCGUGUCAUGCUAUGGUUUAGUCAUCUAGUUAAGGUAAGGUAUUCAGAAUAUUUUGUUGCAUCUUUAUUUCUGUCGAUUAAACCAACUUAUCUUUGAUUUCCUUGUUAACUUAUGUUUGGUUCAUUCUUUUAGCGUAUUUGUCCUCAUUACUCUUAUUGUGGUUAUUGUUGCAGGAAACACAUUGGCAUAGAAGAGAUGCUUAGAGAUAAGAGCCAACCUAAGAAAGUGUUGGGAUUUAGACAAGUCACUGGAAACAGAAACAACAGGGUUCCUUCUGUCAUAAUUUUCUGAGAUAGAAAAGUUCCCAAAGCUCGCACGUGUAUUGCAAGACGUUAUGAAACUACACGCAGCAAGUGCACAAAUUUGGGCUUUUGCAGAUAACAUAUUUCAUGUUCUUUUAGCUUCUCUCUCUUUUUCAAUAGAUUUUUUGGAGUUUCUAACGCAGGUUGUGCACUUGUAUAUGAGGCUGAUAAGAAGCUAAUAGUGUCGUACGCCGCAUUAUCAUAAAUGAAAUGCAUGAUUUUCUCAGGAGAGAAAACAAGCACUUUAUUGUAAUAUAUCUUCUAUUUGAUCAGUCCAUAAUUUUUCUAAGCUACUUUUGUGCAAUACUAGAGGAUUGAGUUGCCUGGUUGAUAUCUGUACAUCUUUUUCAUAUAGUGUAAAUAACUCCCAUAAGGGGAUACUUGAUUUUUCAGUGCUUUUUUGAUAAAUUGAGUGUCUUCUACUAAGCAGGAAUUAUAUGUAGUAGUAUUUUACAUGCUGUAUGUUGGUAUCUGUCAGUUCUGGGCUUUGAAUGGCAGUUCUAUUGUAGGAAUCAGCAUAAGUUUGCUGAUUAGAUUCUGUUCUAUCUUGUUAUUGCAACUUAGUCCCUAAACUUGCGGUAUAUUACUAUAGAAAAGUCCUCUUAAACUCAAUGUUUUGAAACUCAGGUUGAUUUGGCCGGUUAGAUCGUGAAUUAGUGCUCAGACAAGUUUGGUUCGAUCCACAAAAUUGGGCCAGCUUUAAUCCAUUCAGAUCGAUGGUUCAACCUGGGAACUAGUCCAAUUUUAUAAAAACCGAUUUUAAAGAUGUAAUUGUGAUAAUUAGAAGAUUAGGGACUUUAAUUAAUGAAACUUGGAUUUUAAAAAAAAACCAAUUGCAAUAACUAGAUAGCUAGAAACUCAAUUUAUCUAAUAUCCGCAUCGAUUAUAUUGCAGCACUAUGUAGCGGAAUAUAAUAAAACUAUUCAAAUAUUAAAUAUUAUAAUAAUAAUAAUCAAAUAAUAUAAUCACAAAAAUUUUUCUAAAAAUAUACUUUUUAUAUGUAAGUAAUUUAUAAGUUUGGGAAUGAAUUUUUUAUACUAAUCACGUACCGCGCGUGGAUAACAACCAAUUUAGCCAGAUCCCAACUUGUGGAUCCCAACACGACAAGGUUCACGAGCUGGACCUCCAGAUGCUUGCCGCUGGCAACGCAUAGACUUGAAUUAAAACCAUAAAAAGUAAUAAAGUAUAUUAAUUUUGCUUAGAAUUAAAAUAAACAAAAGUAAUAAUAAAUUAAAAAAUAUCUUUCAUUUUUUUUUUCUUUCUUUCUAUAGUUAGUCCUAAUUAAAAAUUAGCUUCUUUAACACAAAACAUAAUAAUACAAUUGAAAAAAUUAAAUAUGAUAGUCGUAAACGUAAUAAUCAAUAUAAUAUAAAAAAGAAAUUUUAGUAUAAUAUCAAACAUUAUUUUCAAAAAUAUAAUAUCCAACAUAUUAAACUAAUUUUUCAUCAAAAAAGCUUCCAUAUAGAUAGAUAUAUCAAUACACAAGUCCAAUCCACCAUUGUGAAUUAUAUACACCAAUCUAUAAAGAAAACAAACAUUUAAAACUAAAUAUAUUAAAAAUACUCUAGUUUUUUUUAUUAAAAAAAUACUUUAUUACCUUAAUUGUUCAAAAUUAAAGUCGCAUUUUUAUUUAGUUUUAUACAAUGUGUUUAUAGAUCUUGAAUAACAGAUUGUAGGGUUCAUGUGGCAACAAAAUAUUAACUAUAAUUUAUAAUAUAAAGAAUUAGUUAUUUACUGUACAGAAUGUAACGUUAUGAGAUAUCUAAUUUAUCAUUUUUAUAAAUUCAUGAGUACAUAAUAAUGCUGCAAUAGUCUUGCAAUUUAAAGACUUACAUAAUGGAUGAAUAACACUAACCUCCGGCACAACAAUUGGCACAAAAAUAGCCAAUAUAUAUCGAGCUCUUCUUCAACACAAAACAUAAUAAUACAAUAAAAAAUAUUAAAAAUGAUAGUUGUAAAUGCAAUAAUCAAUAUAAUUUUUAAAAAAUAUGUUAGUACAAUAUUAAACAUUAUUUUUAAAAACAUAAUAUCCUGACAUAUUAAACUAAUUUUUCAUCAAAAACUUCUAUGUAUAUAUAGAUAUAUCAAUACACAAGUCAAAUCCACCAUAGUAAAUUAUAUACACCAAUCUACAAAGAAAUCAAACAUUUAAAACUAAAUAUAUUAUAGAUACUCUAGUAAUCUAGUUUUUUUAUUAAAAAAAUAAUUUAUUACAUUAAUUUUUCAAAAUUAAAGUUGUAUUUUUAUUUAGUUUUAUACAAUCUGCUUAUAGAUCUUGAAUAAUUGAAUAAUAGAUCGUAGCAUAUGAAUAUUACUGUAUUGAAUAUGACAAAACUUUCAGUGGGAAAGAAAAUAUGGAGAAUCACUACGAGGACAAGCAUGAAGACGUUAGUCGUCUCACUAGCUGCUGUUCGAAAUGUCUCAACCGCUUUCGAGAUAUUGCAAAAAUAUUUCACCGAUAUCCUCCAUUUGCCCGAUGUACAGUGUAUGUAAAAAUCGAUAAAAAGUGCUAGACCAAUAUUAUGAUAAAAAGUGAAUUACCUGAAUCCAGCUUAUUUAUCUCUACUCUAAACCUAAUCUAUAUGUUUUAGGAGCAAGCUUCCUAAUAAAGCACAUAAUUUUUUGACAAAAUUGUUCUAGUGCUUAAAUCUCUAUUGCCUAAUUCAUGAUGAAAGGAUUCCAUACCUAUAUAACCAUGUAAGCUAGCAAAGGACAAAAAAAAUGGUUGCAUUAUAUGUUUGACUUUAUUAUGUAUUUUUUUGUUCUAACGUACAUCAUACAAUAAGUUAGUCUAAAAGUGAAUUACAUGAAUCCAGCUCAUUUAUUCUAGUCUAAGUCUAGUCUAUAUAUUUUAGGAGCAACGCUUUCUAAUGAAGCAUAUAGUUUUUCGGUAAGAUUGUUCUAAGGUCUAAUUCUCUGUUACCUAAUUCAUGAUGAAAGGAUUCCAUGCCUACAUAACCAUGUAAUCCGGCAAAAAAACAACAGCAAAACAAUGUAUAUAUAGAUAUAUCAAAACAUAAGUCAAAUCCACAAUAAUGAAUUAUAUACACCAAUCUACAAAGAAAACAAAUAUUUAAAACUAAAUAUAUUAAAAAUACUCUAAUUUUUUAUUAAAAAAAUAUUUUAUUAACUUAAUUGUUAUUUUUAUUUAGUUUUAUACAAUCUGCUUAUAGAUCUUGAAUAAUUGAAUAAUAGAUUGUAGCAUAUGAAUAUUACUGUAUUGAAUGUGACAAAACUUUCAAUGGGAAAGAAAAUAUGGAGAAUCACUAUGAGGACAAGCAUGAAGACGUUCGUCGUCUCACUAGCUGCUGCUCGAAAUAUCUCAACCGCUUCCAAAAUAGUGUAAAAAGAUUUCAUCGAUGUCUUCCGAUUGGUCGGAUGUACAGUGUAUGUAAAAAUCGAUGAAAAGUGCUAGACCAAUAUUAUAAUAAAAAGUGAAUUAUCUUAAUCCAGCUCAUUUAUCUCUAGUCUAAACCUAGUCUAUAUGUUUUAGUAGCAACCUUCCUAAUGAAGCACAUAAUUUUUCGGCAAGAUUGUUCUAGUGCUUAAAACUCUGUUCAUGAUAACAGAAUUUCAUGCCUACAUAACCAUGUAAUCUGGCAAAGGACAAAAAAAAUGAUUGCAUUAUAUGUUUGACUUUAUUAUUUUUUUUUUGUUCUAACGUACAUCAUAUAAUAAGUCAGUCUAAAAGUGAAUUACAUGAAUUUAGCUCAUUUAUCUCUAGUCUAAAUCUAGUCUAUAUGUUUUAGGAGCAACGCUUUCUAAUGAAGCAUAUAGUUUUUCGCCAAGAUUGUUCUAGUACCUAAUUCUCUGUUGUCUAAUUUAUGAUGAAAGGAUUCUAUGCCUACAUAAUCAUGUAAUCUGGCAAAAAACAACGGCAAAAAAAUAUAUAUAUAGAUAUAUCAAAACACAAGUCAAAUCCACCAUAAUGAAUUAUAUACACCAAUCUACGAAGAAAACAAACAUUUAAAACUAAAUAUAUUAAAAAUACUCUAAUUUUUUAUUAAAAAAUAUUUUAUUACUUUAAUUGUUCAAAAUUAAAGUUGCAUUUUUAUUUAGUUUUAUAUAAUCUGCUUAUAAAUCUUAAAUAAUUGAAUAAUAGAUUGUAGCAUAUGAAUAUUACUGUAUUGAAUGUGACAAAACUUUCAGUAGGAAAGAAAAUAUGGAGAAUCACUACGAGGACAAGCAUGAAGACAUUCGUCGUCUCACUAGCUGCUGCUCGAAAUGUCUCAAUCGCUUCCGAGAUAGUGCAAAAAGAUUUCACCGAUGUCCUCCGAUUGGCCUGAUGUACAGUAUGUAAAAAUUGAUGAAAAGUGAUAAAAAGUGAAUUACCUGAAUCCAGCUCAUUUAUUUUUAAUCUAAAUCUAGUCUAUAUAUUUUAGCAGCAAGCUUCCUAAUGAAGCAUAUAAUUUUUCAACAAGAUUGUUCUAGUGCUUAAAUCUCUGUUGCCUAAUUCAUGAUGAAAGGAUUCCAUGCCUACAUAACCAUGUAAUAUGGAAAAGGACAAAAAAAAUGGUUGCAUUAUAUGUUUGACUUUAUUAUGUAUUUUUUUGUUCUAACGUACAUCAUACAAUAAAUUAGUAUAAAAAUGAAUUACAUGAAUCCAGCUCAUUUAUCUCUAAUCUAAAUCUAGUCUAUAUAUUUUAGGAGCAACGCUUUCUAAUGAAGCACAUAGUUUUUCGUUAAGAUUGUUCUAGUGCUUAAUUCUCUGUUGCCUAAUUUAUGAUGAAAGGAUUCCAUACCUACAUAACCAUAUCAUACCUACAUAACCAUAUAAUCCGGUAAAGAAACAACGGGAAAGAAACAAAAAAAUAGUUACAUUAUAUGUUUGGCUUUUUUUAUGUCUUUUUUUGUUCUAAUAUAUAUUAUAUAUAUAUAUCAUACAAUAAGCUACAACAAAAUAUUACUCUUGCAAACUUAAGCAAUCAAUAGUUACAUAAUCAAUACAGAAUAGAUUGCAAUUAUAGUUUUCUAUGUCAUGACAUUAUUAUCUUCUCUAUAAUCUUAUAUAUCUAUAAAUGGACUAUUUUUCAUUAGGGAUAAUUGCCUAUAUACCCCUCAUACGUUUCAAAAUAUCCGAUUUACCCUUACUUUUUUUUUCUUUCUCAUUUUUAUUCUCUCAAUUCAACUAAGCAUAAAAUGUGAAAAAACAUAACUAAAUUUUUGAAUAAUGAAAAGUGUAAUUUUGAGAUGAAAAAUAAGGAGCUCUUUAAUUCCUUAGAAAAGUGUGAAAAGAAAAUUUUAAGAAAUAAAUUUUCAUGAAAAAUAAUUUUUUCUAAAUUUUCACUAAUUUGGUUUCAAUGAAAAUAAAAUUUUAUGAAACUUUUUUUUUUCCAUUAUCUAUGAAAAACUAGCAUUUUUGUUUUUCUUAAAAAAUUCAAAAAACAAAAAUACCAAUUUUCUAUGAAAUAUGAAUUUUUUGAAAAAAAAUACUUAUUUUUUUCCAAAUCAAAGAGCAAAAAGUUAGAAAAAAAAAUUUCAUAAAAAAAUUUUCCACAUACUUUUGGAACCAAACAGCCCCUAAAGUGAUGCAAUUGAGAUAUUAGUGAACCGGUGUAUGGCAGAUGUGGCGCAACCGGUGCAGGCAAUAAUUUCGUCGGUUCAGGCUCAUCCCGCUUCGAUCCCAGCCCCGAGUCCACCCUCCACCCCCCUCUCUCUCUCUCUCUCUCUCUCUCUCGUCCUCGUUAUACAUUUCAGAUCUCCUCCAUCUCCUCCUCUCCCUCUCCAUCUCUCCCGUCGCCGAUCCCUAGGGUUCGAAUUAGGGUUUCGAAGGCGACAUCGCCAUUCCGCACGAAGCCGAUCCCGGAGAUCCGUGCGGUGGAGGCCUCCGUGCGCCGCGAGAUCCAGGAGAAGAAGGAGGAGCUGCGCCAGCUCGUGGGGCGGAGCUACCGCGACCUCAUCGACUCCGCCGACUCCAUCCUCCUCAUGAAGUCCUCGUGCGAGUCCAUCUCCUCCAACCCCGCCCGCGCCCGCCUCUACGGCGUCGCGUCCCGCGUCAAGUACCUCGUCGACACUCCCGAGAACAUCUGGGGUUGCCUCGACGAAUCCAUGCUUCUCGAAGCUUCCUGUCGCUACCUCCGAGCCCGGGAGGUCCACGGCCUCCUCCUCGCCCCUCGCGGCGCGGGCGCUGCCGCCGAUCUCGACGUGCUCGCCAAGUUCCCCCUGCUGCGGCACCAGUGGCAGAUCGUCGAGAGCUUCAAGGCCCAGAUCUCGCAGCGCAGCCGCGAUCGCCUCCUGGACCGGGGGAUCGGCGUUGCCGCCUACGCUGACGCCCUCGCCGCCGCCGCUACGAUCGACGAACUCGACCCCAAGCAGGUGCUUGCGCUGUUCCUCGACUCGCGGAAGUCGUGGAUCUUGCAGAAGCUCGGGAGCGCCACCUCGGAUCUGGAUUCAUGUUCUUCUGUGCUCUGUGAUGUGGCGGGGACAAUUCGGAGCACUUUGGGGCAGGUUGGAGAGCUCUUCGUGCUCGCUUCGAAUGAGAUGCCUCUGUUCUACCAGACCAUGCUCACCUCACCUCCUGGGACGCAGCUCUUUGGGGGCAUCCCAAAUCCAGAGGAGGAGGUGAGGCUUUGGAAAUCACAUAGGGAGAAAUUAGAGUCUGUGAUGGUUUUACUUGAGACGAAUUUCGUCGCUCAGACCUGCUCAUUGUGGUUGGAGGACUGUUGUGAUGAGAUUUUUGGAGAAUUGUCUGGGGGAAAGUUAUUGAUUGAUACGAUUGGAAGCGGAGAGGGAUUGGGGUCUGCAGAGAAGCUUCUCCGAGAUUCUUUGAACGGACGGGAAGGGCUGGAGGAGAGCUUGGAGCAGUGGCUGAGGAGUGUCCUUGGUACGGAAGUCGAGUCACCAUGGGACCAGAUUCGCGGUCUUAUCUUGAAGGAUGGGAAGGACAUUUUGGAAGAUCGGUUGGAGAAGGUAUUUAUGCAGAGGAUGAAGGGGAUUGUGCAUUCAGAGUUUGAGAACUUGAGUAAAGACCUUAAUUUGGGGAGUUCGAUCGAGACUAUUGUGGCCAACACUGAUUCUAAAGAGGGGAAUGAUUUUGUAACCUACAUGCGUAAAUUUUCAACUGGUGGAGGGGUUUGGUUUGCAGAGACUAACCAAAAGAAAGUAGGCAUUCUGCAUACCUUGAAACCAAUUCCUGAUGAGAAUGAUUUCCAGUCUUGUCUAAAUUCAUAUUUUGGACCUGAAGCCAGUCGAAUUAGAGAUGCACUGGACAGUAAAUGCCGAAUCAUUUUGGAGGAUCUCUUAAGCUUCGUAGAGUCUCAUAAUUCGACUUUGAGGUUAAGGGAAUUAGUGCCAUAUCUUCAGGAGAAGUGUUUCAAGACCAUCUCGAUCAUAUUAAAGGAACUGGAAGACGAGCUUGGUAAGCUGUCUGGUUUGUUAGGAAGCUACAAUGUAGAUAAGCCUUUAUUAACACCUUCAGUGAUUGUUGAAAGAUCUCUUUUCAUUGGUCGUCUAUUGUUUGCAUUAAGAUAUCAUUCAAGCCACAUACCCUUGAUGCUUAGUUCUCCAAGGCAGUGGAUUAAAGAAACAGGUGGUGCAGCAUUUAAUAUUUCAUCUUCACCUUUAUCGCGGCAAUCUAAGGUCUCUUUUGAGUCUCCAUUUUCCACCACACCCAGAAAACAAUCAUUUGAGAGCCUUAGAAGCCCCAAAAAGCAACAUUUGGAUAGCCCUAGAAGGCAAACAGUUGCAGCAGCUGCUGCAUUAUUUGGGGGAGAUGACAGCAAGAACUCAAGGCUCAAUGAACUAAAUAGAACAUUGCAAGAGCUAUGCAUCAAAGCUCAUAGCUUGUGGAUAAUAUGGGUUUCUCGCGAGCUAGCAAACAUUCUUUCGGAGGAUCUCAAGAAAGACGAUGCAUUAUCCGCCUCCACUCCUUUACCGGUAUGAUGCUUGUGCAUAGUUCUUUUUGGCUCUAAAACUAGUAUUUCUUGUUUCCAUGAUUAUCUCUUGGAUUAUAUGCUCUAGAUUCAUUAUUCUUUGUCAUAGUUAUCGAGUCUUUGUAUUUAGUUAGUAGGCUGUAGUUAAUGCAUUCAAAAGAAAUAAUCUGAGCAUUAUUUGUUUAGAUCCACACAUAACACAUUUAAUGCGUAAGUUUGUAAUGUUGUUGCAUACAAGAAUAAGAUUAUUGGACUUUCAAGAAAUAUGAUAAUACUAAUGUUCACUAGCAUCAAAAGGUGAGUUCUCCUUAGAUGUUUCCUGUAAGGAUACAUUAACAAUUUCAGCAUGAAAAAUUGAAUAAAAAAGCAAUACAAGAUUAAGCUAGGGAACUCGGGGCUUUGUGCCUAAUGCACAAGGAUUCUCAUUGGAUGUUUUUAUGCACUAAAAGGGUGCCAAUUGAAAGAUGGAGUAAAAAAAACAAACAGUUCCGUCAACUUAAAGCGUGGUGCGUGGUAAGCAAAACACAACUAUGAUAAACAUGCACUUAGUCCCAGUACUUUUCUUCUGAACUGGUUGAUUAGAUUCAUCAGAAUUCAUGAAAUUUUCUAGUUUUUAAAAUUCAUUAUCAUAUCAACCAUUUCUAUUUUGUACCUCAGUCAUGACUCAUGAUACAGAAACAAAUUCCAAGGUGCCCAAGAAAUAUAGCUUUUCGGUUUAAAAUUAUGUAAACUCUUCAGUUUGAAGUUAUAUAAUCGUAUUGCUUGUAUAGGAAUCUUUCAUGAACAUUUGAACGGGAAAUGGAUCUCUAAACAUAAGUUCUUUCACAUUGGAAAUCAUUAAAUUGAACUGUAAUCUUGUUUAAAAUUAAUUCAUUUAGUGUAAGCACAAUCAUAAAGGAAGAAAACAUAAGUGGGUAAAAUGAUAGGCUACGAAUAUUUAUGCCUCCAUUCUACUUGAUGAUGUUGCUUAACACUUGUAACUACAUUGAUCAAACUCUGACUUGACCACAAUAUGUUGCGAGUUUCUAUCUUAUCUGUGUACUUUGCCAUUCUUGGUUUAGGCAAUUAAACAAGUGUUUUCAUUUACAUGCAUCGAGAUAAUUUAGUUUCCUCUUGCUCAUCCCCAACAUAUCCGUUAUCUAAUGCUGCUGAUCAAGGUUUAAAGUGUCGUGGCACGGGGGCGUGCCGUUAUGUCCCUGGCACGGUACGGUACAGGCACGCUUGCGUGCCGACACGUGGCACGCUUGCGUGCCGAUAGAUACGCAUGACCUCCUACUGGUACACUUUGGCACGGAUUUAUUUCAGUUUUUUUUGUUCCAAUAAACUCUUAUAAUGUUAUUUUGAAAUAUUUAAAUAAAUAAUAAUGAAUAUUUACUAUAUAUACCUUACUAUACUCAUUAAUUAACAUGCAUGUAAGCUUUUUGUAAGUAAAAUACAACUAUACCUGAUGUAGAAUAGAAAUUAAAAUACAAUAAUAAAAUUCACAAGUAUAAUAAUUAUUUAAAUUUACAUCUUUAUAUAGAGAUAACUGCUUUAUAUGGCAUAUUGUCAUAUGAAGAUAGAAGAUUUAUUUGACAAUAUUGAUAUAAAUAUUGUUGGUAUUGUGAGAAAGUCAUAUAUUCCCGAUAUUACAUCCAUAUCGGCCCGAGCCCUCCGCUUCCACCACAGANCCCUGUACCGUGCCCCCUUCUUGGGGGCACGGGCGGCACGGGGGAGGGGGCACGGUACGGCACACCCCGGUGCCGCCCGGCAUGGGCGGCACUUAAAACCUUGCUGCUGAUGCACGCUUCCUUUCUCCUAUCCUAAUCUUCCCCUCCAGCUUCCAAUACCUUAAUCCUCUAUUUGUACCCUCUUAUUUAUCUAGCUUGUCUUAGUUGGCAUAUUUCCUUGCUUAUAUUCAUAACCUCAUUUUUCAUUCAUAUCUUUCUACUUUAUUUGCUACUUGAUACACAUUCAUGGCCUUUUAUUUAAAGUUUCCACUGAGAUUUGCACCAUACCCUUCAUUCUCAGGCUCCGUUCAUCCUUUUGUACACUUUUCUGUCUACCUGUUUUACCUCUCUUAGUUCCACACAAAAAAGGAGGGCAUUAAAUCUGAGAAAGUUAAUGGUCCAGCAAUGAUCAAUAAUGAUGCAUUUAUGGGUAUGUGAGAUCAUCGAGAAGAUGAUAAUAUCAUGCUAUGGGGAACUAUAAUUACAAUCUGCUUUACAUUCGAUUCAAUAGCUACUAAUUGCAUAUUUUAGAAGGUUGCAAGAUGUUCUCAAUAUGUUCUUUAAGUAUGUUGCUAUUGUAGGAUGUACAUCAGAACAUAGAAAGACAUGAAAAAUCCAGAUACAUUAAUGCAAGCAUUUUUCAUGUCCUUUGUCAGACUACAUGGCCAUUACAUGGUUGGGUAGACAUGGAAUCUCAUCAUGAAUCAAGUGACAAAGCUAUUUGAGACAUAUAGGGAGAAUGUUACAAAGAACUAUAUGGUUUUGUAGGAAGAGUUGCUCCUAACAUACGGACUCAGAUCAAACUAGAGAGAAAUGGGCUGGAUUCGGACACUUUAGUACAAGCACAUUAUAUGUUAUUACAUAAAUUAGCCAUAUAGUAACACGGUUUGUCAUCAUUGUUAACAUUGGAGGUCAAUUUUUGAGACUAUCUUCAUGAUUUUGCUUGGUAUUUUGCAAUAAGGAAGCAAAUUAAAAGGUUUAACACUUAGAUACUUGUUGAAUACAUUUCUUUUGACAUUUAUCUCAAAUUGAACUAGUUGAGUUAAAUUUUAUUGCUAUGUGGGAAAGUUGUCCGAUGAUAAUGUUUGAUUCUUGCAGGGUUGGGAAGUCACAGUAGUCAAACAAGAGGGAUCAACUGAGGGUCCAUUGGAGAUGCAAAUAGCACUACCAUCUAUGCCUUCAUUGUACAUUAUUUCUUUUCUUUUCCAAGCAUGCCUUGAAAUUCAUAAAGUUGGAGGUCAUAUAAUCGACAAAGUUGUAUUGCAAAAUUUUGCAUCAGAGCUAUUAGAGAAGGCAAGUUGGUUCAUCUAACAAUAUAAUUUUGAUACUUUUAUUGUUACUUGUAUAGAAUAAUAUAUCCGAUAUUGUACGUUCGCUUAUUUCCCAGGUCUUUGGAUGUGUUUGUGUUCAUGCAUCCCUGUGUUUGGUGUUGUUAUUUCCUUUGUUGUGCCUUUUCAGUGGUCUAAGUUUUGUAGUUUAGUUAGUGUAUUUUAAGCCCUAAAAUUAACUGCAUAGUCUUUUGUUAGGCAUCAAGUGUUGUAAUUAAUGGUAAUAUUUUGGUCUAAAUGUCUUUAGUUACAAAAUUAUUGCUUAGUUGUUGCAUUUGUUUGGUGCUGUUUUAGCGAGCAUAUGGAGAAUUCUGUUUAGUUAUUUACUAAAUUUUUCUCUGAUUAGUUUACUUUUUUGGACUAUCUGGGUUGAGAUAGAAGAGUUGACUCUCCUAGUCCGUCAACUUCUUGUUUUGGAUAAGGAUUUGUGCAUGUAGGAGGGAUCAGAAAUUAAAGCUCUUCAGAUUUGCCAUGGAAAAGAUCAAUUUAACAUAUUAUCUUUCAUUUGACAGGACUCUUAUUUUUCUUCAUCUUUUUACAUUACUUGAUUAUAUAAAUUUUUAUUAUGCCUGAAUACAUUUUAACCCAAAAGUAAUGACAAAAUAUUCACCAUUAGAUUUGUACGGGUUCAUCACUUGUCAGCUAUGCCAUUUAGCCAAUAUCAUUUGAUGCUGCCUUAUUGAAUCUGAAGUGUUGCUCAAAGUCUGGCUGAGAAAGUAGGGCAUCAGUAAGGUGCCUGAAGAACCAUACAUCUUACAUGUUCUAAUAGAAGAUAUCGCACACCUGAACGUGUUUGAGAAGGAUUUGAAGGCUAAAAUGGGAGACGUUUGUCUCAAAUCAUCAAUCCCAUACAGGAAGAUGUUGAAGAAAUGAAAUGCAUCUAUUGAAUUACUGUACUGUAUGAGUAUAAGCAUUUUGUACCAUAAUGAUAAGGCCCGUUUUCAUAUUAUUGGUAUCAGCAGUGGGCUCUGGAGCAUUAUAUAAAUGAUCUUUACCUUCUGGUUUCCUUUCCCAGUUGCAAUGAAGUCAGUAGCUGUGCCAAUUCAAUGACAAACCGCUGGAUUUUAUAACUUUUUGAAGCUCAUGAUUGAGACCUAUACUCUGAUAUAAGUCCAUAAAAUUCUUUUUACUACCUUCAAUAUUCUGCUUGCUUAUGAUUUAAUCUUCUACUUUGGUUGUUUGUGUUAAACACAUGCCGCUUCGCUAGUCACUUGUAUGAAAAGUAAAAAGCUGUUAUUAACUGAAUAUGGAUUUAUGAUCGUGCUUUUAGUAAAUAUGGGAUCACUGAAUGUUUUACAAAUCUAAGGUUGAAUUCAAAUGACUGUUGUGCAUUUCGCAUUUUCUUGACCUAAACAUCUGACAAAUAUCACUGUGAAAUGAGGAAGCAUGAUCAUCAACUGUGAUAUGCCAAAGCUUACGAAUAUAAUUUAGCUGCUGCUUCAUAUUAUACACCUCCAUAUUCUCAUGAGUGAGCUGCUUGCAUGGUCUUACAGGUGGUGGGUGUCUAUGAAAGUUUUCUAUCAACUAUUGAGAGUGGUGAAUCACGGGUUUCAGAAAAAGGAAUUUUGCAAGUAUUACUUGAUCUACGAUUUGUUGCUGACAUUCUUUCUGGAGGCAAAAGUUCCGGAGUAAAUGCGAAAGAGGAACCCUCCAGAAGUAUGAUAUUGAAGACUUCAUUUAGAAGAAAGCCAUUGCAAGUCCAUGCUGAUUCUGCAACCAUAGAGCCUGUAACAAGAUUAAUUAGCAGGCUUUCACAGAGGCUGGAUCCAAUCGACUGGGCUACGUAAGCUCUUCCUCUUAUGAAUGCCUUUAACUCGUUUGAACUUACUAGGAAAGAUCUUUGGAUUCUCUGGUGCAUCCAGUUUCAUAUACUGUUAGAGCUAGACUUAAACUGUUGUUGCACCGAGGCAUGAAUCAAUGAUUUUUCUUCUUUCUUUCUUUCUUCCCCCCUUUAAUUCCACAGGUAUGAACUGUAUCUUUGGGAGAAUGAGAAGCAGUCCUACAAGCGAUAUGCUGUUCUCUUUGGAUUUUUUGUUCAACUUAAUCGCCUGUACACAGAAACUGUACAAAAGUUGCCGACAAAGUCAAAUACUGAUUCCAAUAUAAUGAGAUGUUCCCAAGUUCCACGAUUUAAGUACCUUCCAAUCAGGUAAAUUCCUGUUCUGCCAUUUCAACAGUUUUUCCCUGUAAGAUUUAGCAGUAUCUUUACCACUAUCUUUUCUUAGAAGUCCAGUUUACACCAGAUGGCUAUGAUUAUAGUCGAAGUAUCGAACUACAGAAAUGGACUUCUCGUAUCUAUUGGCUAUAUUGCAUUUGACUAUAGAGUUUCUGACUUUCAUCAAGAUCAGGGCCUGUUGUACAUUUCUCUAUGUUUUCUAUGUUUUUGAACUUAAAUGUAUCUACGACUGGAGCCACCCUUUGCUUCAUUCCUACCAUUAAGAGAUUUGGCUGUCAUAUGAAUGGUCAAACGACAACCAUAUAAUUGACCAUUUUUCCAUUUGAGUAAAGUUGAGGUGUUAGCCAUUAGUUAGAAUUAUUAGUCUUGAACGAGCACCAUCUUUUUUGUUUUUCUCAAGUUUUCUCUUCAUAAGCUAUAAGCAACUAUUUGUGCCUCUGAUUGGUUAAGUUUCUCGUUUCAGCGCUCCUGCCUUGUCGUCAAGAGGAACUCAUAAAUCAUCUGUACAAACUUCAUUGGACGACCCAUCAUCAAGAAGUCCUCUAAAAUCAUAUUCGAGAGGAGAACAGUCUACGAAGCCGGAAUUUGAUGAUAGUCCAAGUUUUGGAGUUGCAACACCGUUGCUGAAGUCUUUCAUGACCCAGGUACACAAAAACAAUGCAAAAUCAUAGUUUAGUAUUAGGUGCAUUUGUAUACAUCUUAGACAUUCUGUUCUUUAUAACAACUUUGAUCUGAGUCAACUUCCAGAUCUAUGAUUUCAGAGGUAUGUGUUUCUUUUCAUACAAGAAAAGUAAGCUUGUUUCAUUCUUGGGUUGACAGCCAGACUUGUAUAAAGUGCAACAGGAAACCUGCUAGAGGAAUCUAUAUAGUUGGUUAGGAUUCAUGUUAGUAGAUUCAUUUGUUACAAGAAAAGAACGGGGAGAGAAAAGAAAGUGCCUUCAGGAAGAAUGGUUUUCCAUCUUGUGUGAAUAUCCAAGUCCACAACCAAAUAUGUUGCUUUCCUUCAGCUUGAAGGAGCUAAAAGUUUAAGGUGGAUUGAAUACGAAAUAUCUGUCCUCAGAAUGAGUAUGUUCUGUUUUUCGAAGUAGUAGUUUGUAAAGCUUAGGUUUGUAAAGCUUAGGCCAAAAGCAAUGGCCCUGCUAAAGAGCUUUACUUCCCGUUGGAUCAUCUCCAUCCAGUCAUUCGGUUUAAUGUUGUUGACAAUGCUUUACGUUUUGACCUCUUGCUUUGCUUUUACCAUUUCUCAGUGCAUUCGUUUCCAACUCGUAUUUCCAAUUACCAUUAAUUACCUUGUAGUAUUCUUAACAUCCACAUGCUGUUUUUCCUUUCUUCUACGCACAAUCAGGUUGGCAGCAAAUUUGGAGAGAGUACAUCAAGGUGGGGAUCUAUGCUUUCCGACGGCCAAGUUGGCAAGUUGUCUACAUUCGGCGACAUUCUCCCCGGCCCGGCUGCUGGCCUCCUCUCAUCUCUCACAUCCGGCAGUGCCCGGUUCGACUCGUAAUUUGCUUCUGAGACACAUCCAAAGUGCGCAAACUACAUCAACUGAUCAAAGAAGCAUGGAGCUACAAAUUGCUAGUCCCUGCAGAGCUGAAAUUCACUGAAGAUGAUGACCUCAAAGAAGCUGUUUACGUAGUUUUGGGGAUUAAAGGAGUUCGACACCAAGUUUCAAAUCAUUCGUUCAAUACAUAAACUUAGAAUCGGGAGAGUGAGCAGAUCCAUUGUACAAAAAAAAGGAAAAAAAAAGAAAAAAAAUUAUAUUUCAUCCUCUUCGUGCUAUUGUAGAGAAUGGAGGAAGAAUGUACGAAUGCGAGCAUUGUCGAAGCCCUUGAGCAUUUUUUCCCACACAUGCUUUGUAAUUUAGGUUGUUUCCCACAUGUGCUGCAGGGUGGACAUUUGAUCCUGCAGUUCUCUAUGGAGGAUUUUACAUGAAUAUAAAAAGAAUGGCAUUGCUUUCUGCAAAACUGAUAUGUUCUCAGGGGCUACUAUCUGUGUAUUUAAGUGAAGAACAUUAUCUUGUUUCAUUAAUGCAGAGAAUAUGGUGGUCAUUAAGAAUUGUCUUUAAGGUGCAAGUUACAGUUUUUAUUUCCCCCUCCCUAAAGCAUGUAGGUUGCCAAUGCGCACCCACUAACGUGUCCAUCCGUCUGACGACAGUAGGGGUAUUGUGCAAGUCUUCUUUUCAUCAGUUUGGUGCUCAGGCCCAGGGUUCAGAUUUUGUAGAUAUGCUGUUGAAAAGGGCCUAACAUGAGUUAGCUUAUCGCAUAAACUUCGUGUGUCGAAAAUAUCUUGUAUUCUUUACUGCAACUUUACAGAAACAGUUUUGAAAAUAAUCACUCGAAAAGAAUCACAGAAGAAGAAUGGAUUUCUCGGCAGCAUACGGAUAGAGUGUAAGCAACUGUGUGGGCUAUUUUUACUUUAUAAAAAAAUUGAGAUAAAUUGCAAUAAGCUUCCCAUUUUGACGAGAAAAUGAGCUUUGUGAUUUACAUUUCUGUACAUGAUACUAUACAAUUAGCGCAACAUAAUGCCAAUGUGGAUGUAAGCAGUUAUUCAGGCAAUAGAGGCAGCCGGGAAACACUCGCGCCUCCGCUCUCGCUGACUAAUGAAUCGAUGUCCAUUUGCUUGCUGGAAAGAAGUCCGGCGUUUUUCUGAGACGAGCUUUUUUUUUUUAUCUUCACGGGGAGAAUCUGCAGCCGUGAGUUCAACUCAGUUCCUGAUGUCUCUGCGGCUAGCUGGUAGCUCUCCACGAGCUCCAGCUGGCGAGCAAUAAUCUCCGAGCAUCGAGGCAGCAGCUCGACAGGUUCGCCACCAGGAAUUACAAUGUAUUCAAUAGCCAGUCGAGCCUCCUGUAAGUACCAGGAAGUUCGAUGAGGUCGAAUAACAAAGAUUUGAACUAGAAUAAAUAUCAUACAACACACCAAAACACUGUUUAGCACAAUUUGACUGGAUGGAAUAGGACAAGAUGACAAUGUUAGAAGAUGAGGUUUUAGCAUCUUGAACGUAUCAGGAAUUGCAAGGGGUUGCAAUUAUCAAAUCUGUGUGGGUCAAAUAGUCCCGUUGGGAUCAAAAAAUUAAAUCCCAUCCAAGAGGUUGGGGUUUAAUAGGAUUAAAUUCAAAUUGUAUCCCACCGGACCAAACCCCAACCCGUUGCGAUCCCCAAUGCUUCCCGGUCACUUAGUUCUCCUUCUACCCCAGACAUUUCUCUCAGUUAUCCUAUCCAAUCCAAUUAGAGCUGUUGAACACGGGCCUAAAUCUUUUGCUUGUAAAAAAUGAAGGUACCUCCAACGCAUCAAUCUCCUCCAGCGAUGGUUUUCUUUUUGGUGCAUCAUCUUCGAUCUCUAUAUCUCCUCUGACAUCUGCAGGCCCAUUCUUUACAGAGCCGAAAGUCUCCAUUCCAAGAAUCAUUUUGACAGCCUUUACCAUCUGCGCCAUGGCAUUGGCCUGCGAUUUGAUACACAUAAAGGACAAUAAAAAGAUGAGCCAUACAUCAGAACAGUACAGAAUUGAUUGACGAUUAGAGAAAGAUGGCAGAAAUUGAUCAAUUAUACCUUAAUGACAAACACGGGAAGUUGGUGAUACUUAGCUACACUACGAAUCCAAGGAUUCUUCUUCAGUUCAGCGCUUGAAGCAAGAAUCACGUCUGCAGUUCCAAUGUCAUCGAUUACAUCCAACUCAUCCUCAAAACCCAUAACAUUUGCCACUUGCAGCAGAUCAGCUUCCAAUAUCUGGCAGCAAAAAAACCAAAUAAGAGACCGUCUUGGGAGUUUCUGGUAGGUGAUUCAUAUAAUUACAACUAAGAUAGUAUCAGUUUGAUUAAAGAGUAAAUUAAAAGAAGGGAAAAAAAAAAGACACAAGGUCAGUCUUUAAGACUUCAAUAAAUCCUGUCCAGAUACCACUUUAUGAGUAAGUUUAUAAGUAAGCACCUUUCUCAUUUUUCUUGAUUCGUUACAAUUUGAAAACAAAAGGAAAAUGUAUGUUGAGGGGCACCUCUUUCAGCUAGAGUAGAUGAUGUUGGAAUUAUUAUGAUCCUGCUCUAAUUAUUACGCCAAUAUUUACCUUAUAAGUAUACACACGUACUGGCGAUCUCCUCGACAACUUCGUCGUGCUUGUUCCCUUUCUGCUAAACUCAAAACUCAUAUCAGAAUCAUCUUCAGCAGGCAUACUUUUGCCCCUCACACUUUCCUUAUAAGAAGUUGAUGCCUCCUCUUCGUAAUGUUUCUCAGAUAAUGGCAUAGGGCUCCCUAAAUUGUUCAUUUUGCCGUCUACCUUCCGUACUUCAAACAUAGGAGACUUCCCUUUUUAACCCAAAAAACGCAAAAAAAAAAAAACAAAAAAAACAAGGUAUCAGUAAAAAGAAAUAAAUAUUUCAGUGUACUAUUCUCAUGCUUUAUGGACCAGAUCACAAGAAAUUGGUAGAAAAGAUAUUAGUUCAACAUGCAUAAUAGUCAAUACCUGCAAGAAUAGCAUCUACAGUGGCUUCUAAUUUGUGAUGCACUCGACACUCAGUCUUCGAUAUCAUCUCAACAGCACAAGUGAAUGUUGGAGGUCCUUGCCUCUCAAGAAUUGUUUUCUGAACCUUCCUUUUCCUCGCCUCUUCGUCACCUAGUGUGACACUCUGCAUGAGAAAAUAGCUUAGAUGACUAUGUUUCACCCACUCAAGUGCCUCUUCUUUUUCCUAGAUUUUGUUUAGCAUGAAUUGCUAAUUGGUACUUGCAAUGAAACUGUUUGCUUCAGCUUCUUCAAGUGCCCAAUCUAUAGCUCCAACAAGAGCCAGGCUUUACAAAUGCAUGAUUUUAAAACUAAAUCACAAGUUGGAUACCUCUAUCCCACCAACAAGUAUCUGCAAGCAAGGAUUUUUAAUGAUGCUAUCAAUUGUCACUCCGUGUGCUGUCCCAACAAGCUGAACACCUCUUUGAGCAAUAGUGCUGGCCGCCAUAGCUUCAAGUUCUGUGCCAAUUUCAUCUAUAAUGAUGACUUCUGGCAUGUGAUUUUCCACUGCUUCUAUCAUGACCUACAGAAGCACCACAAAUAUUUCACAUGCUCUUUUAUACUACUAAGUUUUCUACUACGCUUCUAUUUUGCAGUUUUCAAGUGCUGUGAAACUUUUAAGAGCCGCAAAUAGGGCACAUUGCGAAGGACUCACAUUGUGCUGCAUGCUAACAUUUGGAACUUGCAUUCUCCUUGCACGUCCAAUACCGGAGUGAGGUACAUCCCCAUCACCUCCUAUCUCAUUUGACGUGUCAACUAUGACAACACGCUUCAUGCAUUUAUCUGCUAAAAUCCUAGCUGUUUCCCUGCAUCAAGAGAACCAUCUAGAGAUGUUAAAACCGUCGAGAGGUCUAUGCACCAUAUUUCUCCUCCAAUAACUCCAUGAUCUCACAUUAUUUGCAUUAUAAAAAAGAAUCCUUACCAAUCAAAAUUUUAAAUCUUUAAUCAGGGAAUGAGAUUAAAUAGGCGUAGUAUUGAGGUGAAGCAAAAUGAGGAGUCAAAGCAUGUACCAUCAAAAUGUGUUGAUUUACAAAAGAAAGAUGGAUCACUAAUAUAUAAGAAACCUAAAUCUGAAUUAAUCUAAAAGUUAUGAAGAGCUAUAAAAGCUUGGCCUAGUUGGAAACUCAUGCAUAGCACAACACCAAUCUCGCUUAAAAUGACGAUUGAGAGACUCGAGUAAUUAAAGAUUAAUCUCGCACGGCCAACACUACUUGCACUUUACUUCCACAAUGAGAUCUAUUAAUAGAUAAUGCACCUUAUCAAGGUUGUCUUGCCAACUCCGGGAGGUCCAAUUACCAACAUGGAACCCCCACUCUCAACCAGAUCACGUAUCAUCUCAGCACUUCCUGAUAUAGCUCGACCAACUCGGCAAGUGAGACCGAUUAUUUGCAUCUUACGGUUCCGAAUCGCACUGAUCCGAUGUAGUGAAUGAUUAAUCCCAGAUCGAUUGUCCUCGGAGAAAUCACCAACCUACAAAAAAAGUUCCGAUAUAAGAAACAAAAAGAGUAAGAUGGAAAACCUCAAAAAGAUCCUACCAAUGCUAUAUAGGUGAUGCAACUUACUAUCUUGUUGUGCAAAAUGAAGGAUUACUUUUUCGUACGAACUUGCCGUUAAAAAACCUGUUAAAUGUGAGAAGGUGACAAUCACGUGCCUCGCUACAACGUUGUAAACGUGGGCAUAAUGUAUACUCCAAUUUGCACUUUACCAUUCUAUGGUUCAUAAAUUGUAGUACUUUGCAACCUUUUUAGGUACAAUCAAGCAAUAACACAGUGAUUGUUUACAAGUUUUCUUGGGAUUAAUCUAUCAAGUGAGCGCUAUCUAUGCCAAUAACAAUACAAUUGCAUAUCCAUUGGCGAUAUAGAACAAACGAAUCAAGUAAUCCACCUUCGAGAUCGCGUGGCGGAGGUCGUCGAUCGCCACGGGCCGAUCCGACAUGAACCAAUCCCCCGACGGGAACCGCGCGAUCGGCCGCCGCCCGAGAUCCAUCACCACCUCGAUGAGCUCCCGGACCUCGCCGUGCCGCGCCAGCUCCCGCCGCAUCCGCGGCGGCACCAGCUCCAGGAACAGCUCCAGCUCGUCGUGCACCUGCACCGCCGCCGCCGCCGCCCCCCCGCCGCCGCCGCCGCCGCUGCAGCCAUCGGUCCUCGUCCUCGGCGCGCCCGCGGGGCUCCACGGCGCGCACCGAUCCGCGCUGGGGCGGCGGAUCGAGGGCGGGGCCACAGCCUUGCGCGAGCCCGGGACGCGGCGGGACGAGGAGGAGACGACGAGGCCGGAGAUCGGGCUCUGGAACGAGGCCGGGUUCAGGGCCUUCAACAUGGUCGGGGAUCGGAGAAUUGUGGGGGAGGAGGAGAUGGGAGAAGUGGGGGAGUAUAUAAUGAGGUGGGCUCGGUGAGAUAUUUCGUCGAACAGGUAGAGGGGAAGGUCGAAGAGGAGGAGAGACACAAGAGCGGGGAAUAAAACGGAAUAAGUGGACGGAAGAUUCCGAGGGAUCUAUAUCGUUUCAGGGUCUCCUGCACCCGGUGCAUCCGUACACCACUCUUAUCAUAGACAUUCAAAACAUAACUCAAAAAUUCUAAAAUAUGACAAAUCAAAUUUAUUUCUAAUUUCGCUAGUUUCAUCAUAAUUCUUUUUUCAAAAAAUUUAUUAUACAAAAAUUAUCUCCUACAAUAUGGACCUAAAAAAUUAUAUUUUAAUUUAUUAGUCUGUUUUUUUUAGUGUUCAAAUAAAUAAAUACACGCGUAUAUAUCCAAAUUAAUAAAUUAAGGAUAGUUUUUUCUUUCUUAUUAACGAAAUAACGUUCCAAAUAAUAUUGCUGAUUUUAAAAGUUCAACUUUUAAAAAUCGCACAUCAGAUUUAUCGUAUCAAAAUUUAGUUUUUACAAUACGAGUAAUAAAAUUUAUAAUUUUUAUUUUGAUAGAAACAGAAAAAUCUGUUCUGCUCAUUAGGUCCACUAUUAAUCGCAAAAUAGUUUGGCGUGCAUUAAUACGAGUUCUACCAAUAUUACCACCCUUAAAAUAGUGAUGAUGAUAAAAUAUGGGUUAAUUUCAUACAUGUCCCUAUAAACAUAGUGAAUGAUAAAUAUGUUCCAACAAUGCUAAACUUUCAUAUGCUGUCCCUAUAAAAAAUCCGAUGUUUUCAAAUAUAUUCAUGCCAUUAGGAUCCAUUAGAAAAAUUUAGUUAACCAUAAAUUAAAUACUUAACUUUGGUUAGUUUUUAACGUUUUUAUUCUUUUAUAUUAUACUGUUAUGAUUUUUGGAAGGAUAUAUUUGUGAUGGCAAAAUCGAAAAUAUAAAUGGUUCUCUAAUGGUAAAAAAAAAUCAGAAGGACAUAUUUAAAACAAUUACGACUUUUGCAGCGACAACAUAUGAAAGUUGAACUUUGUAAGAAUAUAUUUGCUAUUUACUUGUUUGUAUAGAUCUGUAUAAAAUUAACCCAAAAAAAUUUUUAAGUUGGUGUAGGCAGAUGCAAGGAUGCACCGGGUGCAGGCAAAUAAUGUCUCAAGAGGAGAAGGGUGCGGGUAUUGGGUGGAUUCGAAAGGUGGGCACGCAACGGACUCUUCUCGGCCGUUGAAGGGAACGGGCGCUCGCACGCGGUCCACACAUUCCGAGGACGGACGAAGUGUUUUUGGUCUCCUGUUGCUUCUAUUUUCUAUUUUUUCAUAUAUUUUUUUUCGCCUUUUAUUUUUAUUUCUUGUUUUUUUUUUUUAAAUGUUAAUCUCGGCGGGUCCCUUACAAAUAUAGUGAAUAACAAAUAUAUCCCUAUAAAUUUUAACUUUCAUAUAUUGUCCUUUAAAAAAUUCUAGUAUUUCUAAAUAUGUUUCUAUGGUUUGUUACGAUUAUUUUUAAUUUUGUAAUAAUAUAAGUGGGGUAAAAAAAUUAAAAACUAAUCAGGGUUAAAUAUUUAACAUAUGAUUUACUAAAUUUUUCUAAUAGAUUCUAGCAUAAGAGAUAUAUAUUUAAAAAAAUAUCAGGACUACUGUAGAAAUAAUAUAUAAAAAUUUAAUUUUAUAAAGAUAUAUUUAUCAUGGUACACGUGUAUAAAAUUAACCCAAAAAAUUGGAAUAGUGAAGAAAAAAGAGUUGGAAGGUGAGGGAUUGAUGAUUGGUCCAUCCAGGGGGGACUUGGCAUGGCAGAACACUUGUCACUUGCUGGAUGGAGAGAUGCAAUUUUAUAAGAUUUCUCCCCGUGGUCUUAUUCGGAGGCGCCGAUUUCUCACAAAUUUCUCGUGAAUUUCGUGCAAUUUCAUAUGUCAAAAAUUCUACAUUAAGUUGAUCCGUUUUUUAUUACUCACAGGAAAAAUAAGAUUGCCUCAUUAGAUAGCGAAAAUUCAUUCUACACUAAUGAUCAGCAAAAUUAAUCUUGUGCGUAGAAAUAUUUUAUACAUGAUCAUUAGAGAGCGAAAACUUAUUCUACCAUUAAUCAUCAGCAGCACAAUCAAUUCUAUGUGUAUAAAUUUUUUAUGUACAGAAUUAUCAGAAAUGCAUUCAUUUUUGUUCCAUCUUUGAAGACUUGAAAUUUUAGAAUAAUUUUAUGUAAAAUAGAUGAGCCUGAAAGACCUCAGCUUAUAAAGAAAACAAAACAAAGAAAAUAAUGUCAAAUUUUUGUGAACUUUGAUAUGGUUACAAACAUCCAAAUUCUUUUUCGUAAAACCUUAAAAUUCUAACUUUGAAAAAUUAUUACCCACAGUUGGUGCAUUUAGACAUCUAUACACUGCAAAUUAACUUUUCAUCAAGAAAUUAAAAUAUAUAACAAUCAUAAGGAAAUAUUAUAACAUGCCUGCAGGUAGGACGGAUGACUGAGAACUUAUUUGGCCUGACUUACUGUAGUGAGACUUUUACCUUAUUUAGAAAAGUUUUAUAUACAAUUAUACUCUUUUCUGUGAUUAUAUAUUGUUAGAUGUGACUCGAAGUUGAUAAUCGACUCAUGUUCGGGUUUUCGACUCGCCGAUAGUUUCGCGGUGCUAUCAAAAUUGGAAAAAUAAAAUUGUCAAGGAAAAAUGAAUGUAUGUGGUGGGUAGCGGAGGGCUCGGGCGUUAUGAGUUUUCUUUUCGUUUUUGCCCUAGAGGCGUGAGAUCGUGGUUGGUUGUAAUCAUCUGAACAUUGUAUUCCUUUUUCGGUCGAUAGUGAAGUUUUUUCUUUCCUCGCCCGUGAUUUUUUUCUGCAAAAAAAUUUUCACGUAAAUCUGUAUGUUCUUUUUAUUUUUCGCUUGUAAUUUGAUUGUUUUAUAUUUGUCAUUUUAUUUCCGUUUAUGCGUUUGUCGUAAUAUAUAUCAUACUACAUAACAAAAGCAAGCUAUUUUAAUUAGGCUUGCUUAUGUAGUUCGGCCUUGUGACGUAAAUUCGAAGUGGAGCCAAACAAUCCCUAAUAGAUACGCAAGUACACUGUGUGCAAGCAAUACUUUCUUAUGUCACUAAAAGGUGUUACGGUGUUGAUAAAGGAUAGGAAUAUUGUUAUAAUGUUAGCUGUAACCAUUUUUUUUUUUUUAAAGCAAAGACCUAUUUUGAAGUAGGCUUUAUUAUAGCGAAACAAUCUUGCUCGCUACCGUAUAAGUGUUACUUCAUAAUAUAUUUGACCAAGAUUUUAAGUACCUAUCGGCAUGGACCGUAUCCACCGUGUCGUACCGUAUCAAUAAAAUACCGACAUCGAUAUAAACUCCGUACAAAUAGCACAGCUCAAAACUCUCUAUUCUUCAAAUUAAUAAUCUCAAUAAAAUUCAAAAAAUAUGAUAAAAAGAUAUAAUAAAUAGUUAGAAUAUUUUGGUGUUAAAUAAAAUAAAUAUUUCAUACUAUUAUGUGUCAGUAUACAAGAAUUUUUUGACCGGAAAACAUCGGCAUGGCUCUGCACGCACCGUGUCGUACCGUACUGGUAAAUUUUCGGUACGAUCCCGUACCACGGCACUUAAUUAAAUCCUUAUAUUGGACACAUUUUUUAAUUUUCUCUCAAAUAUAAUUUUCUAGGUACGUAGGCAAAUAGGGAAAUGCUUUGGGUGCCCCCACAAGACCUUUCUUAUCAUUUUAUAUUUUUUAGCCAGUAUUUCUAUAUUAGCAAACAAACUAUGAUAUACUUCAUGUUACGUAAAAAUAGAAGAACAAAAGUCUUCUUAAAUUAUUUCGAGCAGAAGUUACCAUAUUAUACUUGAUUACGUAUUUAUCAGCUUACUAGGCUUAACAAGAUCACUCGUAUAGAUGAAAUAUCUUCUAUGCAUGUAGAAUACAGUUUUCUCACGUAAAGAUUCUUUUAUGAAAUACUAGUGUAUUGAUAAAUUCUGCGAAGUUUAUGCCAUGUGCAUAAAUUAAACAAAUAUCUUCAUUUUGUGCAUGUCAGUAUAAUAAUUAAUAGUUUAUAAAGGCAACGUUUUAAAGUUUUACAGUAGUACUUCUGUCGUUAUAAGUAGGAAUAAUUUCAUACAGUUCUCUAUAGACAUAUCGAAUAAUAGAUAUAUUCCAACAAAGUUUAAGUUUUCAGAUUCAAUAAUAUUUAUAUUUGUCUCCCUGUUUUGUUACUGUUAGCUCAUUAUUUAUUUUUUUAAUUAGCAGAAGAUAAAUAAAAUAUCAAUUUUGUCAUUAUAAAUAUAUCUCUCGAAAAAUACUAACUUUUAGAAUCAUACAGAAAAUAUCUUCUAAAAAAUCCCCAAUUGCCAUUUUCUUCCUCCAUAAAAACUAACUCAAUCUAUUAUUGUUACAACAUCUUCAUUAUCUCUUCUCUCCCUCAUUUUCUCCUUUACCUAUCUAUUACUGAUUCUCUGGCGCUCGACAUGGGGAAACAAUACGAGUCGUGGAUGAAUGGGGACCAGGAAACCCUAGUUAUAGGUUCGAAAAUAGCAAGAAUGAGAGAGAGGAAGAGGAAGAUGAAGAGGAAGAAGAGUUUCCAUUGUUAGGUUUUGCUAGAACUAGGGUUUUGAUUGAGAUAAAAAAAAGUAUAAUACCAGAGAGAUAAAAAAGUCAAUUUACCUCACUAACCAAGAUUAAGUAUUUUAUCUAUCAUUAACUAUAUUUCUAAUAAACACUAACAACAAGGGUAUAUUUAAAACCAUUAUGACUUUUGAGCGAUAAAUAUGAAAACUUAAACUUUGUAAGAGCUUAUCUGCUAUAUGAUAUGUUUAUAGGGAGCUGUAUAAAAUUAUCACUCAUAAGUAUUCUUAGAGAUCCCCUACAGUAUUUUUUUUUUAAUUAUUAAUAAAUUAACACUUAAAAAGUAUAAAAGAGUUUUAUUAGCUCACACAGAGGCUCCAAAAAUAUUAACUAAGAGCAAUAAAUUUGACAAUCAAUAAAUAACAGCCCAUAACUAAGAGCAAUGUUUUGGCAAAUCCAAAGCUUUUUUAUACUUUUUAAGUGUUAAUGUCCCCACAAACAAGUGCCAACUCUUUGCCAAUCAUCACCAAAUUGCGGCCCCGCGUUGACCAUUUGAAAGUCAACACCAAGAACAACCGGAGCCGCAAAACAGCAUCUAGGCAGGGAUUAUUCCUCGCCCGCUCGUCUCUUCCUUUUCGCACUCUUGGGUUUCAUCGUCUUUUAUUGUUAAUAAAAACUCUAUAAUCCAAUCUUUUUCCUAUAAAUUAAGAUCGAGGAGAUAACAAGAAAAGGAAAAAAAAAAAAAUAAAGGAAAAAAGAAAAAGAAAAAUGAGAGGGGAAUUAGGGGCGACGAGGGGAGAGGAGGAGGAGGAGUGGGAGCUGCUCCUCCCGUCGGAGCCGCGGGAGCGCGCCACGUGUGCGGCGUGGAUUCGCCGGCGGGACAGCCGCGUCCUCGUGGUGAUGGGCAGGGCCUCUUCUUCUUCUUCUUCUUCUUCCCCUCCCUCGCUCGACAUCUUCUCCUUCGACCCCAAAACCACCUCCCUUUCCCCCGAACCCUUGGUAGUUUUUUCUUUUCUUUUUUUUUCUUUCUUUUUUUUUUUUUUCCUUUUGUGUGUGUGUGUGAUGGGUGGUGGUUAUUCUAGGGUUUCGAUUGAGUGAAUUGUAAUUGUGUGGGAAAUUGGUUGCUUUUGGAUGGUGUGUAGGUGAGGUUUCCGAUUCCGGGAGAGGGCGCCGAUCCCCUGCAGUUCGCGGUGCACCCGAGCGGCGACGAGUUCGUCUGCGCCACCAAGAACGGUUGCAAGUGAGUUUUUGCUGCCAAUUACUCUAAAAAUUUAAGCCGAUAGAGAACGGUGUUUUAGCAUUGUUAUAUUUUGAUAGGCUUUAUAAGAUGUGAGAGUCGGAGCUUGGUAGGAUUAGAGUUUAGGAUUUACUGCUUGCUCUGAUACCAUGUGAAACAGCCUUUAAAAGCUUAAGCUGUCAGAGAACGCUGUUUGGAUAUUCUAUAUUUAGUAGUCAUUUCAUGGUUGUAGUUUUUGGGCCCAAGAUCAUAAAAUUGUGAAUCAGCGAUUCCACGGAGAAGCAUGGAGAAUUCUUUCACAGCGACUAUUUGGCCUUGCUGUAGGGUGAAAUAUUAUUUUUGGGGAGGAAUUUGAACAAGCCAGGUGUUUUGGUUUGCUAAUUGGGGCAACGGUGGCAGAAAGCACCAAAUGGCCCUAUGUUGGAGUUUUCACUAUUGCUUCUCUUUGCAUGAGAAUCAGAAGCUCCAAUUUUCGCUGCUAAUCGUAUUUUAGCUUCUUCGCUGCAGCAAAAGCAUUGGACUUUUCCCUCGGCCAAACACCCUAUUUGAGAUGACUAUAGCUGAAAGUAGAAGUAGAAGCGGUGUGAAAUAGGUACUAAGUGAGCUGAUAAUGAAACGAGUCUUUAGUCAUCAAUUUGAAUGGUGUAGCAAUUUUACUCACUAUAAUUUGAUUUUUUUAAGUCGAUCAAGAAUCUAGUGUUUAGGAAGUCUUAAGAGUUAGAAGGAAAAUGUUACUUAUGUUUUAUGUUCUUACAAUUUGAUCUUGAUUUCAUAUUAGAUCGUGAGACUUUUAAGUGUUUUAAAUCAUAAAAUGAUAUACUGAAAAAGAAAUAGUUCAAGAUGCCUAAUGCUCUAAUGCGUCCUCGGUUUUUCCUUCUAUUCAUAGAACUUUAUCCUUGAACUUCCUCUUCACUGUUGCAUCACUUUGGGCGGAUAUUAGGAUUUGCAAUGAAAUGGUUGAGAGAGUGCGAUAAACGCCUACAGAUUUGACGGCAUGCAAUAGUGCUAUCCAUGUUCUGGUUUCUGAUAAGUUUUUCUAACUUCCAUUAUGCUCAUCAUAUUAGACUGUGUGAAUAUUCUCUAUGUUAGCAUCGUCGGUCAUGACCGCUUGCUCCAUUGGCUUAAAAUCAGUCUAAAUUUUAUCAUUUCUAGCGAGAAUUGAGAUUUAAGUGGAGCAUCUUUUCAGGCGUCUUUUUCUUGGUUGUAUUGGGUAUUUGGGUUAUACAUUUAUGCCUACUUAUGUAUGAAAAAAAUCACAUUGUGUUCUUUGUGGUAUGAAGAUUACGCCUUUCCAUCACAAAUAAUGGCGUUAACCAAGACAUUUAAAACCAUGAGUAAUGUGGUACUGAUCAAACUUUGGGAACAUAUAAUAUAAUUUGCUUUUGAUCAUUGUCCGUGUAAUAAUAUGAAUCUUUUGUUUGGAUGGAUUUGAUUGAUAUAUUUUAUAAACUAUAAAUUCUUGUUGAAAACUGUAACUACGUAGUUAUCUUGUGAACAACUAUAGUUUACUUUGCAUUAUCUAAAUAUUAUUUUAUCAAUGUUAGCAUGAUUUCACAAACUAAGCCACCUCUUUGAUGUGCAGAUUAUUUAAAUUGGUUUAUCAGGAAUUUGGCGUACGUAUCCUUUCUAGGGAAACUCCACCUCUUGAAUCUGUGGGUCUCCAGAAGUGCCUGGCUUUUAGCACAGAUGGUACUAAAUUUGCCAUGGGGGGUGAGGUAUGCGAUCAUGGACUUUUUUUGACUUUACAUGAUAGCAAAAAUGUAGAGAAAGUAGUAGUAUAUUGAGAACUAUAAAGAAUCACACAAGUGUUAACUUUUCACUAGUUCUAUAUCGUUAGUGUUGUAAUUGCUUAUGCAGAGACACUAAGGUGUCUGACCAGUAUAGGUGGAGCGGCAUCAUAACAGUUAAUUGACAACGAUAUUCUCUUCUUCUUUUUUUUAGCCAAGGUUGUCUAUUUCUUAAACAACGCGGUGUUGUAGCAAUUCUUUCUGUUUUGUUGUUUUUUGUGACGACUACUUUUUUCUCGUUUCUGCAAGUCAACGUUUCUCUGCAAUUGAUUACUUUACUUGGUUCAGUUUGGAGAUUUAAAAUGUUUAACGCAGAUGAUUCAAAAUUUCCUCCUGCUAACUUUGAGUUAUUUCUAAAUUGAGUAUUUUAUCGGUCUAGUGGCAUUAUUCCUACAACCCCUCUUUUCGUCCAGAAAAUUCUUUAGGUGGAUUUUGGAGGACAACCUUCCAUCUUCUAUUUUCUAUUUCAUGACCUUGUUGCUUGUUUAUUGUGAAUUGCAUCAUAUAAAUUAGAAGGCUUUUCCUCUUCAAUUAGAUAGUUCUUUAUAAUCUAUUACUUUACAACCAGCAAAGGGAAUAGCAUAUCACAUUCUUGUUGCCGUGUAUCAGAUACAAAAUUACUGGGAGAGUAAUGUAAUCAGGAGCAUUGUAGUUUCUCUUAUUUUCUUUAUUUUUGUAUUUGUAAUCAAUCAUAGCAACAAAAAAGUCCUGAAUAUUAUUAGCUAAUACUUCAUAUCAUGUGCUUGAUAGUAGUUCUAUUUUGAUGUUUCCAUAGGACGGGCAUCUCAGAAUAUUACACUGGCCAAGCAUGAAUGUUUGUUUGGAUGAACCUAGAGCUCAUAAAUCAUUUCGGGAUAUGGAUAUCAGGUUAGAGAAUAUUCUCUCCUUUCUUUCGGAAGUUGGCAUUUCAAUAUGAUACUUAAUGGUUGCAUAUGGAACUUCUUUAUUCAUCCUUUGGCUACAGCUGUUACUGUCUAAAUAUUCGUAUCGUAUACAAAUCAUUUGUCAUACGAUUCUGUAAUUGUUAGUUAUUGUUUCUAAAGAACAAUGGAAAAUCAUUGGUCCUACAUAUGUCAAAUAGUAGUAAUAUCUUUUAUGAUUAAUGUGUAUAGCUCUAAUUCCUUAGAAAUGAACAGCGACCUAUUAUGUAUAGUAUAACACUAACAUACUUGAGAUUACUUUAAUAAAUUUCGUGAUUGGUGUACAAGAUUACUUCCUGUAGAUUGGGUAGAUUCCUGGAAACAAAGCUUGAAUGUUAUAUUCUGAUAGUAAGUCACACUCAUUAUUUUAGUUUUGGAAUGCAACAGUUUUUACUUCCAUUUUGCAGCUUAGACUCAGAGUUUUUGGUGUCGACAUCCACUGAUGGUUCUGCAAGAAUAUGGAAGAUAAAUGAUGGUGCCCCACUGACUAAUUUGACUCGAAAUUCGGUAUAGCGUUAAUGUUAUCUUUUGGACACAUUAUUUUCCGAUGUGCAUAUAAAAUGCUGAUAUUCUUCUGGCCUUAUUUAUUCUGUUGUUUCUUCUCUAUAGAAUGAGAAGAUUGAAUGUUGUCGGUUUUCUCGGGAUGGAACUAAACCUUUCCUGUUUUGCACUAUUGAGAAAAGUAAGAUUGCUAAUGAAUUUGAAAAACCAUUAUUUUUGUUGUUGUUAUAUUAAAUAAAUUUUGUUUUUCCUGUACCCAAAACAGAUGGUAAAGUCGUAACUGCUGUUUGGGAUAUCAGUACGUGGAAUAGAAUUGGAUACAAAAGACUACUUGGAAAGCCUGUUUCUGUUCUAUCGAUUAGCUUAGAUGGAAAGUACCUAGCAUUGUAAGUAUAUGAACUUGCUAACUAUUUAUCUCACAUGUACAUGUUGGGAUUAUAUGAAACUUAUGCAUGAAUUUUGUGAGAUAACUGGUAUUCAAAUAACUGAAACUCUCAUUAUAAUAUUUCUCUCCAUGCCGUCAUAUUAUCUCUAAUUUCUUAUAGCGGUUUUGGCAUAAAUAUAUAUCCCUUAAAAAUAUCCACACUUGCCAUUAAACAAUUUUUAAGGAAGGUUAAUCUUCUAGCCUCUGCAUUAUGAAUAUCUUUCGAGAUUGCCUGUCUUAUUGGAUGAGAAUCAAAUGUUGUUGCUAUGGAGGAAGUUCAUGAUUUUUUUGUCUUACUCAUCACUCUAAACUGUUAUGUCUGGCUAGUUGUAAGCAUAUGAAAACCAUGAGUAGGCGUCUUAGAUGUAUAUUUAUUGUAGUUGUCUCCCGAUGUUUCUUGCAAGUUGCAACCACCCUUCUGUUAUUUCCUUUUCCAUGUACCUUAUAAUUGUUUCCGCAUUAUGUGAAAUGUAAUUAUGUUCUGAUCUGUCCACCUUUUCUUACAUUCGUGUUGCAUGUUUUUACUUCUCGAUCAUUUUCAUUGCUUAAUGAUGAAAUUAGCAUGUAGAUAUCUUUAUCUUUCUCAGGCCAACAUUGAUCAACCUUUUUUCGCCGUAAAUGUAAUGUUUCUCAUCUUUCUUUGGAACAUCAUGAUCCUGGUCACUGGUGCAAACGGAAAAAAAUUGAUUCCUUGCUAGAGUAUAUUAAUUUUAUGCUCUAAUAAUUACUUAAACACUAUAAUUUAAUUGAAUUUUGGAAUUCGUAUUUAUUUUGCUAUAUACCUCAAUUUAAUUGACAUGGAUGUAUUAGCAAAUUAACCGAGUUAAUUUAUUCAGAGGGAGCAACGAUGGUGACUUUUGUGUAGCUGAAGUAAAGAAGAUGGAGAUAUCCCACUGGAGCAAGAAGAUUCAUCUUGGCACACGAAUUUCUUCUAUCGAGUUUUGUCCUACAGAAAGGUAAUAACAUCAAUUUACCUCAAACUUUGGAUAAUGCUUCAGAUUAUUUAAUUUUUUUAAUUUUUUUGAGAGAUUUUUUUUUUUAUUGUAUGUUAAAACUUUAUAAUAAGCUAAUUUUGCAUCAGAUCCCCUAUUGCUUUUGAAUUUUUUGAGUAUUCAGUGGCAGUAAUCGCUGUGUAACCAUUUCCAAUAAAGGACUUCAUUUAAGAUGACUCGACAAUUAAGAUUUACUUAAUGAAUACAAAUUUACUCUGAAACAUAUUCUUGACAACAUCUAGCAGAGAAACAAAAUGUGAUUAGCAAAAAACAUAGUUCCUCAGUGUUGCAAAUGACUUUUUCAUGUGUACUGUGGUUUAUGUUGACACCAUUUUGUGUUCUGUUCAAGUCAUUUGCUUUGUAACCACUCUGAUGUUUAGCCAUGUAAAUGCCUUCUUUCGAGAAGCCACCGCCAAAAUUUAUUCUGCCUUCUAGCAUCUCAAAAUAAUCUUAAGUGCUGUAACCUGUUUGAUCAAAGAAACUGCUCCAUCCUGCAAUUAUAUGCAUAUAUGCACCGUGCUUUUUACUUCCAUCCGAGGAUUGUUGUGCUACUCAGCAUGGUCUGGCGCGGCACGUGCCAUCCAUUCCUCUCUUACUGACAUACAAAAUUUGCAGUGCCUAGUCGUGCCGGCAGACUGUGCAAUGCCAAUGACGCACAGACAUGCCCUAUGCUAGUGGCACGAUAUUCCUUACUUACAAUCCACCCACUAUGCAUCAAUUGCAUCAUUUGCUUAAAUACUCUCUUCCUACACUGCAGAGUUGUGAUUUCCACUUCGUCGCAAUGGGGACCCAUGGUCACAAAACUCAACGUACCUGGCGAUUGGAAGGGUAAGAAACGUGAACAAUCACUAGGUUUCCUUCAAACUAAAUUCCCUUAAUUUGCACUUAUUCUUUCCCUUUUCUUUUCACCGUAGAGUGGCAAAUCUACCUAGUACUCCUGUCGCUAUUUCUGGCCUCGGCUAUUCUAUGCUAUAUAUUCUACGAGAACUCCGAUUCAUUCUGGAACUUCCCGCUCGGAAGGCACCAACCUGCAAAACCUUGGAACACCUUCAAGCCGAUCGAUCCUUCGCAGAUUCCAGAUGAUCAGGAUUGGUGACUAUCUAGAAUUACUUAACUUAUCCUUCCACUCGGACAAUACUUUUCUUCUUUUGGUUUCUUGAACUCGACUACGGGCUACGCAACGAUAAUGCUUCCACCAUGGGAUUUUUUUAUUUUUUUUGGACUUGUUGAAUUUACACUGAUCUUAUCGCGUCUUUUUGGUGCUUCUUAUGUCGAUAAUCCGAUGAUAAAAGGCGGGUUUAUUUGUGGUAACACUGGUAAUGUAUUAUUAAAUAGAUUUAAAGGAUGGUUGUGUCUCCUAAUGAUUUCUAGCUCUGUAUUUCUUUUUAAAAUAAUUCGAAUAAGAAUAAUUUGGAUUGAUCAGAAAUUGAUAAUUGGAAGCUGUGAUGGUUGGUGAAGGAAAAAUAAAAUGUGUAGCAAAUCCUUAUACUUUGGUGAUAUGGUACUUGGAAUUUUAAAGAUAAAGAUUGUAUAGAGAACCCCCUCAACUAUAGGCUAUUUUGAAAUGGAUCCCUCAACUUUGUUUUUUUAACCUACUGACACCCUUUGAACUCACAAAUAUUUGAGAUUGAGUAAUUUUAGUUAAUUUGGUUAGAAGUUUUAUGAAAUCUAGUGAUUUUAAUUGCUUUUUUAAGAAAUGAAACGGAACUAAUGACAGCUAAAUGCUAAUACAGCCAAGUAACAGAAUUUUUUGGCUUAGCUAACUAAGAUAGCUUAAAUAAAAAAAAAAAGCUAAAAACAUACAGUAUUUACCUGAACUAUCAACCAUUAUAAAUCAACUAUCUUACCUUUCAUAAUUUUGAUUUUACUAUUCAAUUUUUUAAUUUAUUUGAUUUGAAUCAACGAUACUUUGACUUUAAAUUUUAAAUGCGUUGUUUAUUUUUACAGAUUCAGUUUGUAUACUUUAUGCAAUUCUCAUGGCUAUAAUUUUAUCAAAGUAAAAAGUAAGUUAAAUUUUAAAGUAAAAGUGCCGUUAACUGCCCAAAUAAAAUAAAUUGAAAAGUUGGAUAGUGAAAUCAAAGUUUUGAAUGGUCCGGUAGUCAACUCAAAAUGGUCGAUACUUCAAGUUAACUUUGUGUUUUUAUCUUUUUUUUUAAAAAAAAAGAAAGUUGUCUGUAGGAUUUCAAAGUUGCAAUGUGGUAUAUUAAAUCAAAUUUUACCCAAAAUUGAAAUUGAAACAAGAGAUUGAACCAGAAUCAGAGAGAGAGAGAGAGAGAGAGAGAGAGAGAGAGAGAGAGAGAUUGUUUUUCUAUUGUCUUACCUUUCUAUUGUUCACUUAUUAACCAUUUUUUAAAUCAUUAUGAAGACCAUUUAAAGAUCUUUAACAUUUUAAGCUUGCUUGGUUGCAUAAACAUUUGGUGCAAUGCAUUGUUCUGACCGACUGUUAGGAUUUUCUAAAAACCUGUUUGUUUAUGCUGACCGGCUGUUCGGAUUUUUUACGAGUCUAUUUGUUUUGACCGACUGUUAGGAUUUUCUAAGAGCCUAUUUGUUUAUGUUGAAAAUAAUUUUCAGUUAAAAUAAAGUUUUUCUGGAACUAUUCUAGUUUAGGUUAGCUCAACCUUUUGUGCCAUAUCUGAAACUAUUCUCAAUAUAAUCCAUCCCUUUUUAUGCCAUUUCUGUUUUUUUUUAAUUAUUAUUUUUGUACACUUGUGUGCAGAUUUAUACACACAUAUACCACUUAUAACAGGACUCAAAACUCAAAACCUAAUACUUACAGGAUAAAAUGUAGCUACCAAUCAGACUCCAUAUUGGUGGUCUCUUUUUUUUUCUUUUUUUUUCUUUUUUUUGUCUUCCCACAUGGAGAGUCUAAUUUGCUUGUCUUCAGGAAAAAAGGAGAUAGAUAGUUGCAUGUCAAUUUCUUCUUAUUGGAGAGGUAUCAUUGAAGAGAGAGAGAGAGAGAGAGAGAGAGAGAGAGAGAGCAACCUUAUCAUGGAUAGUAAAUUAUGUAAGGAUUAUAUAUUGUCUUGUAAUAGUUGUCAAUAAUCUGAUGCUAAUUAAAUUUUGUAUGUUUAUUAGAUGAGUGUUAUUGCCUAUUGGUAGUAUAUAUUUCUGCACUCGUUUUUCUACUGCAUGAAUCUUUUCCAUAAUAUAAUAUCAAAUUAAAUUCUAAAUUCUUUCAUUCUAUAAAGAUCGUAACAUUUAUUCCCAUUGUCGAUAUUUAACAGAUUAAAUUUUAACAUUAUGUAUUGGGUUAAAUUCUCAUCUCUUAUUUUAUCGAUUAAUUGCAUGUAUCUUUUAUAUUCCAAAAUGAGUGGAAGUGUUAAUAUAUAUUUCUGAAUUUAUACAAGAUCAAUCUUUUGGGCAAAAAAUACUACCUAUAAAAUAGGUGUAAGAUUUAUACCUUAAGCNUUUUUUCUUUUUUUUCUUUUUUUUGUCUUCCCACAUAGAGAGUCUAAUUUGCUUGUCUUCAGGAAAAAUGGAGAUAGAUAGUUGCAUGUCAAUUUCUUCUUAUUGGAGAGGUAUCAUUGUAGAGAGAGAGAGCAACCUUAUCAUGGAUAGUAAAUUAUGUAAGGAUUAUAUAUUGUCUUGUAAUAGUUGUCAAUAAUCUGAUGCUAAUUAAAUUUUGUAUGUUUAUUAGAUGAGUGUUAUUGCCUAUUGGUAGUAUAUAUUUCUAAACUCGUUUUUCUACUGCAUGAAUCUUUUCCAUAAUAUAAUAUCAAAUUAAAUUCUAAAUUCUUUCAUUCUAUAAAGAUCGUAACAUUUAUUCCCAUUGUCGAUAUUUAACAGAUUAAAUUUUGACAUUAUGUAUUGGGUUAUAUUCUCAUCUCUUAUUUUAUCGAUUAAUUGCAUGUAUCUUUUAUAUUCCAAAAUGAGUGGAAGUGUUAAUAUAUAUUUCUGAAUUUAUACAAGAUCAAUCUUUUGGGCAAAAAAUACUACCUAUAAAAUAGGUGUAAGAUUUAUACCUUAAGCAAUGGAAGGCUCAUAUUUGCUCAUCAAUAUUAUCAAAUUAGUUUAAUACUAAAAACAUAAAAAAAAAAAUAGAAUCUUGAGUGGUGGAGUGUAAAAUGUGCACCCUAUAAAUAAUAGAAUAUAUGUAUACUAUGUAUUAGUGGUGGCAAUCCAAUUCGCUGUUCGCGAGCCAGCUUUUGUUUGGCUUGAAAUGAGCUCGAGAUCAAAUAGCUCGUUUAGUAAACGAGCUGAACACGAGUUGAAUUUUUCAACUCGUUUAAUAUACGAGCCGAACACGAGCUGGAGUCAGCUCGCUCGUGCUCGGCUCGAUAACAGCUCAAAUACAUAUAUUUUAUAUUUAUAUAUAUAUAUAAAUAAAUAAUUAUAUAUAUAAUAUAUUAUAUAUUUUUAUUAUUUUAUUUUAGCAAAAUAAAAAUAUAAAGUCGAGCUCAAUUAUAAAAAGACUUAUUUAUAUGUAAAGUUUCAAACNUAUAUAUAUAAAUAAAUAAUUAUAUAUAUAAUAUAUUAUAUAUUUUUAUUAUUUCAUUUUAGCAAAAUAAAAAUAUAAAGUCGAGCUCAAUUAUAAAAAAACUCAUUUAUAUGUAAAGUUUCAACCAUUUGAUCAAAGUCUAAUGAAUAAAAUUUUAUAAAGUUAAUUUUAAUUUAUAUAUAUAUAUCCAAUCUUAUCCUUUAAACUUAUUGUUCGUUGGCAAGCUCGUGAGCCAGCUCGUGUUCAGCUUAUUUAUUAACGACGCAAACACGAGCUAAAUUUUUCGACUCGAUACACUCCUACUAUGUAUCUUGUUAGGUUCAUUAUAGCUUGCACAGAGCAAAAAGUGUUGAAUUUGUACUGAACUCUUGGGCUGGAACUUUUCUUCACUCUAUUCUGUUUUUGUUUUUAUUUUUAAUUAAAUUAGGAUUUUUUUUUCAAUCCUAUUAAAUUUUACUCCGAAUCUUCUUGAAAUUUAGCCAUUAAUAUACCUUUCAUUCUGUGAAUUAAUUCUGCAGAUGAAACAGAGAAUGGAAAUAUUUUGGGAGUAUAAUAUUUUGAGUGAGGCAUCUCUUUUACUCCGCGAAGAUUAUAAUAAAAAUUGUACUCUAUUAUUAUCCAUGAAUAUAGGCCAAUUGUUGAACCACGUAAAUUAUUAUUUUUUUUUUAUUUUUUCUUUUUAUAUUUUGUUUUGACUUCUUACAUUCAAUGAACUAAAUCACCUGAAUGUAGGGUGUAAGAUUUAUACCUACUGGAUAGUAAGAGUAUCAUUUUUCUUUAUUUGAAGAGAAAUAUUCUUUAUUUUUCAAAACAUUAUUAUUAUAAGUUGCUGAUAUGUUGAAAAAUAUAUAUUAUAUUUUUAGAUUGCAUGAAUAAAUCAAUCAAAAAAUCUUCAUAUCAUAUUUGUCAACGUAGUAACAGUCUAUAAAGAUAAUAUACCAAAUGAAACAAAAGAAAAAAACCUAAAUGAACAAUAUAGUUCUACACAACAAAACAAUAAAAUUGUAAAAAAUCAUAAAAGAAAAUAGGCCAAAUAUACGGGUGCCGUGUAGUGCGUCAAUAUUGGCAGAUUCUAAUUCAAUCCGAUCCGAUUUUAAUUUCUAAAUGCAUUGGCUAUCCAGUUUGUAAACUUUCGAUGCUCUCAAAUUUUAAAAUAUAGAAAUUAAAAUUUCUAUAUUUUAAUUUCCAAAAUAUAGAAAUUUAAUUAUUAAAAAUUUGUGAUCGAGACCCAUAUUAGAAUAGAAUAAUAAAAUAAAUUAAAACUUGAUUUUGAAAGUACACAGUUCAAAGUAAUGUCUCAGGUGUACCUCACUGAUUCAUUUAUAAUUUAAUUCAUUUUCCACCAACCAUGUGAACAUCAUCUGAUAUUUAACUUAAUUUGUUGACUUGAGUAAAGUGCAUUAUACAUGUCAAUACAUGUCUAUGAUUACAAAAAUGACCAACAUGUAUUAAUUAAUCAUCUGAUGUGAUCACAAGGAGGCUUAAUUAAUUAACCAUAACUAAUUAAUUAAUUAAUUAAUGAGCUAUAACAACCUAUUGUGACUUAUAUUAUAUUUAAAAUUUGCUAAUGACAUAUAAGAUAAGUAGGGAACUCUAUCAAGUGACAACCCAAAUCAUAUGUUUAUUAGAUGUAUUAAUACUUAGUCUACAUUAUCACAUGACAUACAAAUUAUAUAUAAUAAAGCUUCAUUUGGGAUUGCCAGGAGAUUGUGACCUAAAUGGUUUAUACCCACAUAGAUUCUUAGCAUUUUAGAUAAUUUCAAAAUAGAUCACAACUUUUCAUCUCUUAUAUAAGUACUUGCUUUUUUUUUCUUUACUUUUUUGUCAUAAAAGUAUUUGGUAAUUCGUAUUUUUUAAAUUUUGGAGAAAUUAUUUGAUAAGUUAGGGGCCUGUACGGAAAUUUUCUAUUUUGUUAAAAAGGCAAUUGCUUAUAUACCUCUAAAAAGUUUCCGACUUUCUGAUUUAUUUCUUUUAGAAGACUAAUAUUAAAAAUAUCAUUUCUACGUUCUAAGUUAUUUUAAAUAUACCUCUAAAGUUAAAUUCUUUUAUUGAAUUGUUAGCAAUAACUGUUAUUUCUAUGAAAUUACUAUUUUAUCAUUUCAAAUAUAUCCUUCUAUCAUAACCAUUUUUAUCGUUUCAAACGUACUCCUCUACCAUCACCAACUUUUCUUAUUUGCCCUUAAGUUAAGGACAAAAUAGGUAUUUUAAUUUUUUUAACUCUGGUAAAUAUUUAACCCAAGUUUAAUCCGAGAUAACUUAACGGAUGAUAAUGGAGUAUUAUUAAAUAACGAAGGAAUAUAUGAGGAGUAUAUUAGAAAUAAAAAAAAAAGAAUAAAUUAGAUAUUUUUGAAGUUUUAAAAGGUAAUUAUCCCUUGUUAAAAAUUCUCCAAGGCAGUGAAUCAGGUAUCUUUUGAUAUACCUGCAGUUUAGACAUUAGAAUAUCCUGAUCAAAUUAUUAUUAAACUCCAUGUUCAACAAGCUUGUUUUUUAAUUAGACACACAUAAAUAAAAUAAUAAACAAAAGAUAUUAUAUAUUAUUGGUGAUAUCACAACAAUAAGAAUCACAUAUAAUAUUUAAGAGUCCCUUGUAUCAUGCAAAGUAAUUCUCCAACACUCAUGGAGAGUUUGUGUGUGUGUGUGUGUGUGUGUGUGUGUGUGUGUGUGUGUGUGUGUUAAUCCUUAAAUCUUAUUUAUGAGAUUUUCUUUUUUUUUUCCUAUUUAUUUCCUAUUUAGCCAACCUGUCUCCACACAUAGUGACAUUAUUUAAUUAAAUGUUAGCUUUGGAAUAUGACUCCCAAAGAAAAAUAUACCUAGUUUGUGGUGGUUGUGAAAGCCCUGAUCUUUGGGGCAUUGACCCAUUAGUUAAUCCAAAAUAGUGUAUACUCCAAGUGUGACAUAUUUUUCCUACAAAUUUUGACCAUUAAAAAAAUUGCAACAAGGUGGGCAUGUGGCAUUAUUCUAUUUGUUGCCCUUAUUUCAAAGGUUUGGGUUACUUAUUAGUGGCAUCAAUAAUUGAAAAGUUCUACACCAUUGGUUGCAAAGGAUAUAUACACCAUUGGUUGCAAAGUAUCCUAUGACUCCAUUGAGCAUUAUUAAUCACUUUUCCUAAGGUAUCGCUUGGUUUGAGGAUAAGUAAAAAAUGACUAUUCUAGGGAUAAGUAUAAAUUGAGAUAUAAGCGGGAAUUAGAUCAAUUUUGCAUUUGGAUAAAAAUUGGGCUAUUCCUGAGAAUAAAAAAAAUAGCGUUUGGAAUAAGAAAGAUAAUAGUUUUUAUAAAUAAAAAAUAAUGAUAUUACUCUCUUAUUAUAUUUGAAUUUAAAUUUUUAAAUUUAAAAUUUUGACUUUGAAAUUUCAAAAUUUAAAAUUUAAAAUCUCAAAUUUUAAAUUCAAAAUUUUAAAUUUUAAAUUUCAAAAUUUAAAUUUAAGAUCAAAUUUAAAUUUGAAAAUAUAAAAUAUCAAAUUUUAAAUUUUAAAAAUUUAAAAUAUUAAAAUUUAAAUUUAAAAUUAUAAACUUUAAUUUUGAGAUUAUAAAUUAUAAAUUUUAAAAUUUUAAAUUUUAAUUUUUAAAAUUUUAAAAUAAGAAUAGGAAUGGGAACAAUUAAUAAAAAUAAUUUAUUAUAAUAAAUUUAUAAUUCUUUUUAAAAUUUUACUUAAACUUAAAUUUAAUAAAAAGAAUUUAUUAUAAUAUUUAAAUAUAAAAAAUAUGUAUUAAUAUAGUACAAUUAAUAAUUUUAUAAUAAAAAUAAUAUAUUAUAAUAUAUAACAUAUCAUAUUUAUAUAAUUUAGUUUUAAUUCAAUUUAUAAUUUUAAUUAAAUUUGAAAUUUCAAACUAAGCAUUGGAAUAGUACUAUUUCACCAAAAUAGUGCAAUAGCAAAUCCCGGCCAAAUUUCACCCCGGCCAAAUUUCACCCUGUUUGGCGGAAUAGCGGGGAUAACUUUCGCUAUCCCUGCUUAUCCCCCGAACCAAACUGGGCCUUAUUACUAUUC
rnacentral:lncRNA from 1 species